rnacentral:lncRNA from 1 species
AUGUUGGGUGUGGCAUCGGAGGAGGCGACUUCUACAUGGCUGAAACCUAUGAUGUCCAUGUCCUCGGCAUCGAUCUUUCCAUCAACAUGGUUUCCUUCGCGAUCGAGCGUGCCAUCGGUCGCUCCUGCUCGGUUGAGUUUGAGGUUGCUGACUGCACCACCAAGGAAUACCCAGAGAACACGUUCGAUGUCAUCUACAGCCGUGACACCAUCCUCCACAUUCAAGUAUGUUUCACUGCAUAGACUGAAAUUAACCCAUUUUUGUGUAUGGAAAUCAUUGCAUAUAUUGUCUCAAAUAGUUCUGACAAGUGGUGCACAUGGCUGUACAGGACAAGCCUGCUCUGUUCAGAAACUUCUUCAAGUGGCUGAAGCCUGGUGGCAAAGUGCUGAUCAGUGACUACUGCAGGAGCCCUGGGACGCCAUCAGAGGAAUUCGCUGCGUACAUCAAGCAGAGAGGCUAUGACCUCCAUGAUGUGAAGACCUACGGAAAGGUGAGCAUCUUCCGAAGAAAAGAAAAGAAAAGAAUAUCAUACCAACCAGAUCAAUCUAGUCACUCUGGCAGACUUGUUUCAGAGAAGCAAACCAUCCUAACCUCUGUUUGCACAUGAACUCAGAUGCUUGAGGAUGCCGGUUUCCACGACGUCAUCGCCGAAGACCGCACCGACCAGGUGAACGUCUCCGCCUCUGAAUUCAGUCCCCUGACAACGUCACGCAGCUCCUGAAAUCCUAGUCCUUGUCCUUGCACGUUGCUUGGAGAAAUGUAAGAGUUUCUUCAGCGACUGACAUCAUGCUUGGUCCUUGCAGUUCCUGAGGGUCCUGGAGAGGGAGCUGGGCGAGACCGAGAAGAACAAGGAGGCCUUCCUGGCGGACUUCAGCCAGGAGGACUACGACGACAUCGUCAACGGGUGGAGCGCGAAGCUGAAGCGGAGCUCCGCCGGCGAGCAGAAGUGGGGGCUGUUCAUCGCGACCAAGUGAUCUGGCCGCCGAGCAGCGACGCCACGCUACGCGAUGAUCCGGAAGCAGAGCGGCUUCGGCUUCGGUUAAGAAUUAAAUAAAGAGGAUCGGUGCUCGACCAUGCUGUGGCCGUGUGUUGGGUGUGGUGUGAUUUGUUGUUGCAGUGGCUGCACUGGCCGGCCGGGCACCCGGAUCUGUAAGAUAAUGAUGUGUACGUACGUGCUGUGUGUUCCCUGAACUUUGUUAUGUGACGAGCGAGACUCGCUUUGUAACGUGCUUAUUCUGUUGCUACGUGGUCUUUCUUCCCUCUGGUAGAGUUGUGUCACCUCACAGCAUAUCUAGCGCUUCCUUGCGUAAUAAUCCCUCAAAAGGUUAACACGAGGAAGUGAUCUCAACGUGAUGUCUGGGCAACAGUUUAUUGACUACAACAGGGAUGGAGAUGAGGACGGUACAGUGAUGUGAUGAUGGAGUUAGUGAAGAUAAUCCCCACGAUGCCUUAGUGUUGGUGAUUGACGAUGACUUUGAAUUCUCUCCUUCGAAAAGAAAGAAUCUUGACAGAAUCAACCCUGUAAGAGAGAAACAUGCUUCUCUUCGUUCCGCUUCUACGGCCUCAGAAAAAUAAUCCAAUUUAUCUACUCGGUGGUGAUUAUCUUUUGACGCCGUACAUCAUGUUGAGAAGCAUAACGCCGAGCGAAAGCAAGAAUAAGAACGAAAGGAGUACAUCCCUCCAUCCAUAUAUAUAGGGCCUAAUGCAUUUUUCGAGAUUGCCUUUGACUAUUGAUAAGAUUAAUAAUAUAUGAAAUGUAUAAUGUAAAAAUUAUAUUAUUGAAAACUCCUUUCACGUACGAAUUUGAAGACAUGCUUUGUGUAACUUGCAUGUCAUAUAUUAUUGCUCUAACAUAUGGUCAAAAUUAGCCUCGAAAAACGCAUUAGGCCCUAUAUAUGAAUAGAGGGAGGGAUGCGUAUCUUUCAACGAACGAAAAAAAAUCCAGCUUAUCUAGUAUAGCAUAGGGCGAUGAUAUAAGACCAGGGAUGCACGAGAGGAGGCGGCGAGUGGCAUGGCUAGGGGCCUGAUGCAUCAAUUCUUUUUGCCCUGAGAGUAUCUACAUCCGGACUUGGUAAAUCCGACCACUUAUAUGCCCGCGAACAGCAUCCGCCGCCCCCUUAUAUGUUGCCUCGCACAUUCACAUACCUGAAAUAAAAACUCUCACAUCCAUGCAAUCCAUGCACGUCGAUCAUUCGAUACAAAUUGUCUGAAUUCAACAGUUCGAAAUAAAACAAAUCAAAGCACAGUUCAAUAAACCAAAGAUGCCAAAAUGAAAUCAGUGUCCGAGCGAGAAGGGAUGCUUGCCGGAUCACUGGCCAGACGCGCCCAUCCAUGCUUCCUGCUCGUCCAGCUUGUCCUCCUCCACCUGCAUCCGGGUUGCGUGCUUUGCCUCCAUCCGGGCUGCAUGCUCCGUUUGCAUCCUGACUGCAUGCUCCGCUGCCGCAGCUACCCUCACCGCCUCAUGCGUCCUACGAUCGUUGAUCUCCUUCUUCUUCUCUGCAAGCUACUUCGUCGCAUGCGCAUCCAAGUGGGUUUCAUCCGCCAACAUGAUCUCCGCAUCCUCCGCGCCUCGUGCGAGUUGCAACCUCUCCUUCUCGAGCUCGAUCUCUCCAAAUGUCUUGACCUUCUCGAGUUCCCAUUUGAUUGCCGCCUAAUGCUUCUCCAACUCGAUUUUCUCCCUCUCAAUUUCCAGCCUCCUCUCUGCCCUCGACCGGUCCCACUCCGUCCUCUCCUUUUGUGCAUCCAAUAUGAGCAUGUACCUAUCCUUUUUCUUGUUCUCCCUUGCCGAAAAAUGCCCGUCCAUGUGGAUGAUAUUUUCGUAGCCACGAAAUCACGGGAGAUCCUUGCCUUCUCCCAUUUGUUGCACAUGACUUAUGGGUUAUCCUCUGGCGCGAUAGCUCUUCCAUUAAUGAUGACAACCUCAUCCUCCUCACCGUCCAAGCCAAUGGAUUGGUGAGAGCUUGAGCCAUCAUUCCUCUUCUUGCCGUCUUUGAGAUCGACCACAACUUGUGUCCACUUUGGCUUGCCAUUCAAUAUGAUCGAACAAUGGCUAAACGCAAAUGGCUUAUUCUCGAUCUCGUGGUACAAAGUGGCCGCCACCACUGUCUAGCAAAAAACAUACACAUGAGCACAAGAAUGAAAACACAAGAAGCAUAUUGAAAUGGCAAUAAGACGAGGCAAUUGAGCUUACGUGAGUUGUCACUCCAUCCCACUUUGAGGGUGUUUGGUCACUUGCGCGUAGUAGACCACGUAGUUGUUCACUUCUCCUUGAAUGAUCCCACAUCGAUGUUGGAGAGAUGCCACAUUGUGGGUGGCCACGAUAGGAUGCGGGUCCAUGUACUCCAUUCAUUCGUGAUGCUCCUACCAAAUAUUCUCCCAAUAUGUGUUCCCCUUUUGCUUGGUGCCUCAUAUUGGAUCCAUUGUUGUGGAGAACCAAGAAUGGACCAACAAGAUGUCCUCAAAUCUUGAGAAAGCCAGACCUCUUGCCUUUGUCGUCUUGCCUUCUUCUUAUUCUUGUUUGCAUUGGGGUCGGAUGUUGUCCAACCUCGAAUUGGGUGUUGGGCUCCAAUUCGUAAUACAUAUUGGUCGGAUCUUCAUUGUCAUUGAUCAUGCUUGUCAAAUACGCCUCCUUGGAUCAUGAUUUGCAAGCAUUCAUCAUGUUAGAAUUAGUGAAUGCAAAACAUUGAACAUUUGAUUGGACAGGAGAAAAUAAAACGUUCCUCGCCUGGUUCUAUCAUUCCGUCGAACAUGUCGAGUGUGGACUGGGUGGUGGCAGUGCUCGUGCUCGUACGCUUCCGAAUGAGCUACAACGAUUAACAAUCAUCGACCGUCGGCUUAUGCAUGGGCAAAAAAUCUUUCGGAAUGGCCCAGCCGACCGUCAAAUCCUCCUCCGUGCCAAGUUUCCGGACGACACAAUCCGCGUCGGCGCUAGGAUGGCUGGGGUGCGGGGAGCCGUUCAUGGUGGGGGAGACAUCUCCUCGACCAUGUCCACACCUACCUGUGAUGCCAACGCCACCUUCUUCUCUCGGUGCCGGCGACGCUGUAGAUUCCGGGUGAUGUUCUCCGCCUUGCAAUAGUUACUGGAGGAAGGGACGCCGGCAAACGAGGCGGACUGCGUCUGUGUCACGGUGGACCGCAUCUUCAUCGCGACGGUCGGGGAUGGGCGGGAAGACAUCACGAUGUAGGGGAUCGGUGGUGACGAUGGGGAGCAAGAGUGGAAGACGGAAAGGGUUCGAACAUGGGAAAUGUUGGAGGGUGGUGGGAGGAGGAGGAAGGGUUUGGAGGAUUUGGUGCAAUCUGAGUUAGGGUCGAGCUGUCAGAUCCGACAUGGCGGGCGUGCCUAGGGGCGUCCGGGUGCCCCCAUAUUUGUCUCAUAUUUGGGUUGGAUAUGAGGGGUGCCGGUCAUCCCGGGCUUCUGAGGCCCGUUUAAAAAGCCCGUGUGGGUCAAAUUUUUGUGAUCGGCCAGAGACCAGAUGGAUUGGCCGAGCGUUUGAGAUGGGUUUGAGGGGUCCGAUUGUAUAUGCUCGACGUUGUUAUUCCUGUGUCGACGAUGGUUUCACCCCCAACCACCUCUCUCACGGCACCAGAACUUCAAAUCCACACUCUCUCAAAUUAAUCAUGCCGCCCUGCCCCCCUUCCUCAUCGCGUCCCCUUCGUCACCGCGACCCUCCUCCACUCACCAUCGCGCGCCCGCCUUCUCGCUCUUCCGCCAAUAGGUAGGUGGGAGGGGGGCUCACGCUGCCUCCGUCGAUGCCACUCCCGAUCCCUCCUCCUUGCGCUCAAGCGAUGUAUAGGUAAUUAAAUGUAUAUAUAUGUUAGAUGAACUUUAGAUUUGAUUUACAUGUUUAUAGAUUCACCUAUAUAUAGAUUGUAUUAAUAUUAGAUUUGAUUGUUCAUUGAUAGCCUUUUAUUCCAUUCGUCCAUCCAUAUUCUCUUUAAUAUUGGUUGAUGGUUCAUAUAUGUAAAAUUAUUUGCAGUGCUCAAAACAUGCAGAGCUUCAAAAGAGUUUCAAAAUUAAGGUGAAAUGUUGAUUAAUUUUUCUUUCACAAAAUUUUGGACACUCAAUGUUUACAUUUUUUUAGGACAAAUCAUGCCCAAGUUUUUAGUCCGUCCAUACUCUUUAAUAUGGGUUGAUGUUCCAUAUAUGUAAAUAUUUUGUAGUCUUUUAUUCCAUUUGUCUCUUAUCCAUACGGAGUUCUCACAUGCAUAUACUUAUAUUUGUAGUGCUCAAAUCAUUAGGGCUUCAAAAGAGUGUUGGAUUAAGUUGUGUUUCGCCAAAUUCUGACACUCAAAGUUUACAUUUUUAACACAAGCCAGGCCCAUUUUUUUCGUCCAUCCAUACUCUUUAAUAUCGGUUCAUGUUUCAUAUAUGUAAAUAUUUUGUAGCCUUUUAUUCCAAUCAUUGUUUAUCCAUACACAGUUCUCAUAUGCAUAUUUAUUCGGAUUGCUUAAACCAUGCACAACUUCAAAAGAGUGUCGAAAAUGUCGUGAAAGGUUGAUUAAUUUUUUUUAACAACAUUUCUGACACUCAAUGUUUAUGGUUUUUAGCACAAGUCAUGCACAAUUAUUUCCCUCCAUCCAUACUCUUUAAUAUUGUUUGAUAUUUCAUAUACGUAAAUAUUUUGUAGGAUUUUAUUCCAGUCGUUUCUUAUCCAUAUAGAGUUCUCACAUGCAUAUUUAUCUGGAGUGCUCAAACCAUGCACAGCCUCAAAAUAGGGUCGAAAAUAUUGCAAAAUGUUGGUUAAUUUCUGUUUCACAACAUUUUUGACACUCAAUGAUUUCAAUUUUUUAGCACAAGUCAUGCCCAUUUUUUUCAUCCAUCUAUAAGUUUUACUGCUUAUUUUAUACUUUAACUUAUUGAACUAUUCCAUAGCAUGAACGUAGGCAAUGAACCAAGUAUGCCACUGGUAUGGUGACACUAGGCUAGAUGCAUGCCACAAGUUUCACCACACUUGCAAUGAAAUCUGUGUAGAUCUUCAUGAUGACUUUAUGGAGUAGGCCGUAUUUUUGCAUUCAAUUAGUGUUAUGUCUUAUCAUUUCGUAAUGUAUAUAAAACCGCGCUGACAAUUGUCUAAUUUCUAUUUUUGUUUUAUUAUGUUCGGUGUAUCUUUUGUCGGGGAAGGGUCGAGUUCAUGCAAGUGGCCAACCUGCCCAUCGAUGUGGAGGGCACAAUUCCAUUUGACAUGAUGUUAAAAAAAUGGUAUACCCUUGACCCUUAGUGUCACCAACGAGGGAGGGAAGACAUAUUUCAGCGGUCCAAGUUGGAUUCAGAUUGUUGUAGAAUUAGGGAUGCAAGUUGGGAAGGGAUUCUUAUUAUUUCUUCACAAAUUUGAAGAGGCCCACGUCGGCAACAAAAUCUAUCUGUGGUACGAUGUCGUCCAAUCACCAUAGUACCUAUUUUUUUAUGGUGAUCCAAAUGUCGUAUGAGUACUUGCAUGGUACUAGCUAGCACUUUAUUGAACAUAUAUAUGUUGUACGCCCUUAUUAUAAUGUUGUAUGUAAGUAUUAAAUAUUAGAGAGUUACAUAUUAAACUAAACCGUGUAUUUGAACUGUGCUAUAUAUAACUUUAGGGUACUGAGAUUAUUGUUAAACUGAAAAAGUUCUAACGACACCCAAAAACACUACCAUGACAACUUUGACAGUAAUAAGAUAACUGUGGCGGGCCCAAGCGGAUGCCCGCCACAAGUAAGUGUAUAAUCAGUGGUGGGGGUGUGCUGUUGAGGAACGUCGCAUGGGAAAUAAAAUUUUCUUACAUUCACCAAGAUCAAUCUAUGGAGAUCAACAUCUACGAGAGGGGGAGUGCAUCUACAUACCCUUGUAGAUCGCUAAGAAGAAGCGUAUAUAGCGCGGUUGAUGUAGUGGUACGUCUUCACGAUCCAAUCACGAUCCAUCCUGAUCUAGCGCACAACACCUCCGCAUUUAGAACACGUACAACUCGAUGACGUCUCCGCCUCCUUGAUCCAACAAGCGAGGUUGGAGAGGUAGAUGAGUUCCCCGAAAGCAUGAUGACGUGGCGGCGGUGGCGGUGGAGCUGUCCCGGUAGAGCUUCGCCAAGCGCUACCACGACGAACUAGAGGAGAAACUGAUCUAGAGGGAGAGGGAGAGGCUGCACCAUGGCUUCUAAUGCUGCAGCCCUCCCUCCCCUCACAUGUAUAUAUAGGAGGAGAGGACGGGGUCGACAGCCCUAGGGUUCCCCUCCCUAGGAGGCGCGACGGCCAAGAGGAGGGUCGGCGACCCUUGGGGUGGCUUGCCACCCAAGGCAAGGGAUGGCCGACCCCUUUUUGGCUUAGUCCUCCACAUCGAGCCGCAUGGUCCUAGGUGGGAGGGGCUGGUGCACCCUGAUACGUCUCCAACGUAUCUAUAAUUUUUGAUGGUUUCAUGCUAUUAUCUUGUCAAACUUUGGAUGUUAUGCAUGCCUUUUAUAUAUUUUUUGGGACUAACUUAUUAACUCAGUGCCAAGUGCCAGUUCCUGUUUUUUCCAUGUUUUUGACCCCUUUCAGAGGAGAUUUUGAAACGGACUCGAAACGGAAGAAAAUCCCCGAAAAGAUUUUUUCCGUAACGGAAGAAGAUCAGGAAGCUAGAGAGCCAAGGCAGGGGAGCCUCAGGGGCCCCACAAGCCCCCACCCCGCGGCCAGGGGGUAGGUCGCGGCCCAUAGGCUUGUGGCCCCCCUGGGCUCCCUAUGCCCUAGGGGUUGCGCCUAUAUAUUCCCUAAAAAUCCCAAAAAUAUCAGGAGAUCAUCGAAAGUACUUUUCCGCCGUCGCAAGCUUCUGUCUCCGCAAGAUCCCAUCUGGGGCACGUUCUGGUGCCCUGCCAGAGGGGGGAUUCAGAUACGGAGGGCUUCUUCAUCAACACCAUGACCUCUCCGAUGAUGCGUGAGUAGUUCACCAUAGACCUACGGGUCCAUAGUUAGUAUCUAGAUGGCUUCUUCUCUCUCUUGGAUCUUCAAUACAAAGUUCUCCAUGAUCUUCAUGGAGAUCUAUCCGAUGUAAUCUUAUUUUGCGGUGUAUGUUGUCUUUCCUCUAGUGGUGUUAUGUGAACGUCUACUACAUAACACUUCACCAUUAUUUGGGCCUAGAGGAAGGCAUUGGGAAGUAAUAAGUAGAUGAUGGGUUGCUAGAGUGACAGAAGCUUAAACCCUAGUUUAUGCGUUGCUUCGUAAGGGGCUGAUUUGGAUCCACUAGUUUAAUGCUAUGGUUAGACUUAGUCUUAAUUCUUCUUUCGUAGUUGCGGAUGCUUGCGAGAGGGGUUAAUCAUAAGUGGGAUGUUUGUCCAAGUAAGGGCAGCACCCAAGCACCGGUCCACCCUCAUAUCAAACUAUCAAAGUAGCGAACGCGAAUCAUAUGAACAUGAUGAAAACUAGCUUGACAGAAAUUCCCAUGUGUCCUCGGGAACGCUUUACCUCAUAUAAGAGUUCGUCCAGGCUUGUCCCUUGCUACAAAAGGGAUUGGGCCAUCUUUCUGCACCUUUGUUACUAUUGUUACUUGCUACUCGCUACGAAUUAACUUAUCACACAACUAUCUGUUAUCGAUAAUUUCAGUGCUUGCAGAGAAUACCUUGCUGAAAACCACUUGUUAGUUCCUUUUGCUCCUCGUUGGGUUCGACACUCUUACUUAUCGAAAGGACUACGAUAGAUCGCCUACACUUGUGGGUCAUCAGGCAUGAGUUUGUUACUAGGACUUCUGAGUUUGGUAAGCUUGUUUAUAUGAUGAUGUUUGGCGAGCUUACUACUCGCGAGAUCCGUCUACCUGCACAACUUUUGUUUGAUUACACUAGCAGGAACGCAUGGUCCUUCACCUCGAUUGAGCUAGACGAGUUCGUGAUCCAGCAGUAGAUCCACAACCCCAUGGAGGGGGUUGUUCCCGAGGAAGAAGAGCCUUCUUCUUGGAAGGACAGCCGGGCAUCAGUUUACGUGCCCGAGGCUUCGUAUAAUUCUUGGAGCCACCGGUACCACUCCGGAGCCGGAGGGAGUUCCUGGAGCCCGCAGUAGCCAAGCCCAACUUAGGCCAAAAGCCUAAGCUUGGGGGAGUACGUACCUUUCUCCCCUUCCAUUGUAUCAUCCGUAGUUUUCUUUUUAAUCUUUUCGGAGUUUUUGCCUGUUCUUCUUUGUUCUUUCUUUGCAAAAAUAACAACAUGACUUCUCUUUUCUUUUGCUUUCGUUUAACCUUUGGAAAACCCAAAAAGAUUUCUUUUUCUCUCUUUAGUUUGCUUUUUUGCAGAGUUCAGCUCACGUCCAUGGUUGCAAUUGCACUUGAUUAUAUCUAUCUACGUUCGAUCGUGCAAGCAAUGAUGCAAUAAUGACGAAUAUCGACGGAAGGGAUGCAACAAGGAAAGACGGUAUGAACUCUAUUUGUUUCUCCUUUUGUACAUAUGCGUGUAUUUAUGAUCUAGAGACCAGCUUGCAGCGACAUAGUGUUAUGUUUACAAUGCUCUCCGAGUAGUUCAUGCUUUCUUUGUGACUAGUUUCAAAUAGAUGGAUUGCAUAAUGUGUUAUUGGAAUGAUGUGCAUGCAUUGCAUUGUUCAUGGUUUGGCAUAUUGAAGUGGUAUCUCCCUUCGGAGAGUUUUAGGAUCGACUUGGCACAUGCUUACACAUGUUUGUGACUAGAAGUCUAUUAAGCCUUGAUGAUCUUUUUAUUUCAGAAUAGUUAUAUCGCUUUCGUGCCUGAUUCAAUGUUGCUUUGUCGCUCUGCAGGAUUAUUACCGUCAUUGCUCUCUAGUUGGCCGCUUCCCCGUCUUUUGCUAGGCUUUGCUUGUACUAAGCGGACUAACUGCUUGUGCAUCCAAAAUCCAUCAAACCAGUUGCGCCAUAUGAGUCCACCAUACUUACCUAUAUGCGGGAUUUAUGUGUGAUGACCCACAAGUAUAGGGGAUCAAUCGUAGUCCUUUCGAUAAAUAAGAGUGUCGAACCCAACGAGGAGUAGAAGGAUCUGACAAGUGGUUUUCAGCAAGGUAAUAUCUACAAGCACUGAAAUUAUCGGUAACAAGUGAUUGUGUGGUGAGAUGAUUCGUAGCAAGCAAUAAGUAACAAAAGUAGCAACGGUGCAACAAAGUGGCCCAAUCCCUUUUGUAGCAAGGGACAAGCCUGGACAAAGUCUUAUAGGAGGAAAACGCUCCCGAGGACACACGGGAGUUUUUGUCAUGCUAGUUUUCAUCAUGUUCAUAUGAUUCGCGUUCGUUACUUUGAUAGUUUGAUAUGUGGGUGGACCGACGUUGGGUACUGCCCUUACUCGGACAAGCAUCCCACUUAUGAUUAACCCCUCUUGCAAGCAUCCGCAACUACGAAAGAAGAAUUAAGACAAAGUCUAACCAUAGCAUUAAACUAGUGGAUCCAAAUCUGCCCCUUACGAAGCAACGCAUAAACUAGGGUUUAAGCUUCUAUCACUCUAGCAACCCAUCAUCUAAUUACUACUUACCAAUGCCUUCCUCUAGGCCCAAAGAAUGGUGAAGUGUGAUGUAGUCGACGUUCACAUAACACCACUAGAGGAAAAACAACAUACAACACAUCAAAAUAUCGAACGAAUACCAAAUUCACAUGACUACUAUUAGCAUGACUUAUCCCAUGUCCUCAGGAACAAAAUUAACUACUCACAAAGCAUAAUCAUAUUCAUGACCAGAGAGGUAAUGAGUAGCAUCAAAGAUCUGAACAUAAACUCUUGCACCAAGUAAUCCAACUAGCAUCAACUACAAGGAGUAAUUAACACUACUAGCAACCUUACAAGUACCAACCGGAAUGGCGAGAUGGAGAUUGGUUACAAGUGAUGAACUAGGGUUUGGAGAUGAGAUGGUGCUGAUGAAGAUGUUGAUGGUGACGAGUCCCCUCCGAUGAGAGGAGUGUUGGUGAUGACGAUGGCGACGAUUUCCCCUCCGGGAGGGAAGUUUCCCCUGCAGGAUCGUCGUGCCGGAGCUCUAGAUUGGUUCUGCUCCAGUUUCGCCUUGUGGCGGCGGCGAAUCCUUCGAAAAUCCUCCUCCUGAUUUUUUCCGGACGAAACCCUUCUUGUAGCAAAAGGGGGGAGCCAGAGGGCCAGCUGGGUGCCCACAAGCCCGCUAGGCGCGACCAGGGGGGUGGCCGCGCCUAGCAGCUUGUGGCCACCUGCUGGCGCCCCUCUGGCACUUCUUCGGCCCAGUAAUUUUUAUAAAUCCUGAAAAAAUCAUCAUUGAUUUCCACGGCGUUUGGAGUUGCGCAGAAUAGGUAUCUCAAACUUGCUCCUUUUUCAGGCCAGAAUUCUAGCUGCCGGCAUUCUCCCUCUUCAUGUAAACCUUGCAAAAUAAGAGAGAAAAGGCAUAAGUAUUGUACCGUGAAGUGAAAUAACAGACCAAAAAGCAAUAAAUAUCAACAUGAAAACAUGAUGCAAAAUGGACGUAUCAACUCCCCCAAGCUUAGACCUUGCUUGUCCUCAAGCGAAAGCCUAGCUUAAUAAACAUGUACACAUGUUUAGGGAGAGAGGUGUCGACGAAACAAGAUACGAACAUGCAGGCAUCAUGAUCAUGAUCAGAACAACAAUACCAACAUAUAAUCUCUCAUGCUAAAGUGAUAAUUCCUUCAGAAAGUAAAGCAUGGAUCAAGAACCUUACCGAGAAGUAACAACCGAUAGCCUUUAGUCAUUGAAGCAAUUGCAAUUUAUCACAACAUUAGAAAGAGUCAAAUAAGAGCUUGUAAAGCAAAUCCACAUACUCAAUCAUCCUUUCGUUCUCUACAAGUGCUACAACUCACGUGGUACUCAUGAGAUCAAAGUUUCAGCUGGACACAAAGAAAGAUAGGGGCUUAUAGUUUUGCCUCCCAACUGCUUACCUCAAGGGUAAUGUCAACAAUAAUAAUUCAUGAAUACUUACUUCCAAGUUGACAUAUGAAUAUUGAUCUUUCCCUAGCAUAUGACGUUAGCCAAGAUAAAGGCGAAAUAAGGAAUUGGUGAAGAGCACCAUGACUCUUUCAAGGGCAAAAAGUAAAGGUACAAGAUAGGCCCUUCACAGAGGGAAGCAGAGGUUGUCAUGCACUUUUGAGGUUUGGAUGCGUGUCCUCUUAGUGCGGAGGAACGUCACUUUAUAUUGCCUCCUGUGAUAAAGAACUUUAUUAUGCAGUCUGUCGCUUUUAUGUCUUCCUCAUCACAGGUUCAUACAAAUCUUAUUUUCCACACACUAAUAGAUCAUACAUAUUAGAGAGCAAUUUUUAUUGCUUGCACCGAUGACAACUUACUUGAGGGAUCUUAUUCAAUCCAUAGGUAGGUAUGGUGGACUCUCAUGGCAAAACUGGGUUGAAGGUUUGUGGAUGCACAAGUAGUAUCUCUACUUGGUGUGGGAGUUUUGGCUAGUAUGAGGUGGAAGCAAUCGUCACAUGCUAAAGGAUCUCUAAUCAUAUAACAUUGUUCGGAACCAAGCAAACACAAUUCAUUAUGUUGUCUUCGUUGUCCAACAUCUACUUCUAAGCAUGCAAUAGUUUAGUGAGUGUUCACAAUCAUAGAUGGUGUCAAAGAUGAUAUAUUUAUAUGUGAACAUCUCCUUCUUUAUCACCUCCUAUUAAUUGCAACAAUGACCAAGGUCUAUGUUUGUCUACCCUCAACAAGUUUCAAUCAUCAUUCUUUUUAUAUGUGAAGCCAUCACUUCCCAUAAGAUCAUUACAUGAUCUUUCAUGCUUUUGUUCUUUUCUCAAUCUUUUGAUCAUGGCAUGAGGCAAAGCCCUUCAACUAAGACACUCUUUAUUAUAUGGCUCAUGAGCUCGAAUACAUCGAGGGUGACACAAAGCAAAACUCAAGACUAAAACACUAAGACCUUUAUUCUACUAGAGAAAGAGAAAACUGAAAAGGAACAAACUAAAACAAAGGUAAAUGCAAAAGAUGUGAUGGUGAUACGAUACUGGGGCAAUUCCCCCAAGCUUGGCACAAGCCAAGGGGAUUGCCCUUACCCAUGCUUAGUUGUCUUCCUUUGGAGGUGAUGGUGGUGGAGUUGUUGCAGAGGUCUUGAGCUUGUUUAAUUUCCACUUGAGCAUAAAAUUCUGCUCCCUCAAAUCAUCAUUUUCCUCUUCAAGCUUCAACACCCUUUGGCAUAAUUCCUGCUAACUCUCCUGCAAGAAACAAGAAGGGAUAAACAAAGUCUUAGGCUUCAUCCUUGAAUCAGGGAGGCUCGACUUCUUGAACUCCACAUGCGUGUGUCCAGGUUGAGGUAGAGGAGCCUCCUCUUCAUCGGAACUUGUUUGUUCCUUCCCCUUGGGAUCAUAAUCUUCUUCCUCAUCAGUGGUCCAGCCAUAAGGAUCCAAGUCCCCAUAGACCUUGAGAAGACAUAGCUCUCCCCCUCUGAAUCUUGAGAAGACAUCUUGCCCUAAAUCUGCGGCAGAAAACAGGCUUGAAACGAAAACACAGGAAAUCUGCGUGAUACGAGGGUUAGACCUUUCGGGAGAAUAUAUAAUGAUUUUUUCCAGACCAGAAGGAGUACUCCGCACGAAAACGGAGUCCGGGAGGCACACGAGGUGGACACAAGCCCCCCAGGCGCGGCCAGGGGGUGGGCCCGCGCCUGGCACGCUUGUCGCCUCCUCGCGCGCUUUCCAGACUACUUCCAAUUUUUCUAUUUUUUCAAAUAUUCCAAAACGGAGAAAGUUUCCUACUGGAAAAGUUUUGGAGUCUGUUUUCUUACCGAAUCACAUACCUCUUUGUUUUCGGAGGCUGAAACAGGCUGAUAAAUAUCCCUUAGGUAUUCUUCCGGAGUUAUGGUAUUGAUAAUAUUGCUUUCAACAUUUAUGGGAGUACCUGAGAUAUAGUGCUUGAUUCUCUGCCCAUUUACCACUCUCGGACAAUUACCUUCUAUGUUGUUGAUCUUGAUAGCACCGGAACGAUAUAAUUCCUCAACAAUAUAGGGACCUUCCCAUUUAGAUAGAAGCUUGCCUGCAAAGAAUCUUAAACGAGAAUUAUAUAGCAAGACAUAAUCACCUACAUCGAACUCACGUUUUUGUAUCGUCUUAUCAUGCCACCUCUUAACAUUUUCUUUGAACAACUUGGCAUUCUCAUAUGCCUGAGUUCUCCAUUCAUCAAGCGAGCUAAGAUGAAAUAACCUCUUCUCACCAGCAAGUUUGAAAUCAAAGUUGAGCUCUUUGAUUGCCCAAUAGGCUUUAUGCUCUAGCUCAAGAGGUAAAUGACAUGCUUUUCCAUACACCAUUUUGUACGGAGACAUGCCCAUGGGAUUCUUAUAGGCAGUUCUAUAAGCCCACAGUGCAUCAUCAAGCUUCUUAGACCACUUCUUUCUAGACCUAUUGACAGUCUUUUGCAGAAUUAGUUUAAUCUCUCUAUUGCUUAGCUCUACUUGACCACUGGACUCAGGGUGAUAGGGAGACGCAAUUCUAUGGUUGACAUCAUACUUAGCAAGCGUUUUACGAAAGGCACCAUGAAUGAAGUGUGAACCACCGUCGGUCAUUAGAUAUCUAGGGACUCCAAAUCUAGGGAAAAUAACUUCUUUAAGCAUCCUGAUAGAGGUGUUGUGAUCAGCACUACUAGUGGGGAUAGCUUCUACCCACUUAGUGACGUAAUCAACAGCAACUAGGAUAUGAGUAUACCCAUUGGAUUUUGGAAAAGGUCCCAUAUAAUCAAAGCCCCAAACAUCAAAUGGUUCAAUGACAAGUGAAUAGUUCAUAGGCAUUUCCUGACGUUUACCGAUAUUGCCUAUUGUUUGACAUUCAUCAUAAGAGAAGACAAACUUACGGGCAUCCUUGAAGAGAGUGGGCCAAUAGAAACCUGAUUGCAAUACCUUGUGUGCAGUUCUAUCUCCCGCAUGGUGUCCUCCGUAGGCCUCGGAGUGACACUUCUGUAGGAUCUGUCCCUGUUCAUGUUCAGGUACACAACGUCUAAUAACACCAUCUACUCCUUCCUUAUAAAGGUGAGGAUCAUCCCAGAAGUAAUGUCUCAAGUCAAAGAAGAAUUUCUUCUUAUGCUGGUAUGUGAAACUAGGUGGUAUAUAUUUGGCAACAAUAUAGUUUGCAUAAUCAACAACCACAGUGCACUACGUGAGGCAUUGAUGACAUUCCCGGGAAAGCUAUCAUCAAUAGGUUGUGGGUCAUCAAGAACGUUCUCCAACCUAGACAAGUUAUCUGCUACAGGGUUAUCAGCACCCUUCUUGUCGACAACGUGCAAAUCAAAUUGUUGUAGCAAGAGAAUCCAUCUGAUAAGUCUAGGUUUAGCGUCCUUCUUCUCCAUGAGGUACUUAAUAGCAGCAUGAUCAGUGUGAAUAGUGACUUUCAAAUCAACUAUGUAAGACCUGAACUUUUCACAUGCAAACACAACUGCUAAAAAUUCCUUUUCCGUAGUAGCAUAGUUUCUUUGGGCACUAUCUAGAAUUUUACUCGCAUAGUGAAUAACAUUCAACCUCUUAUCAACUCUUUGCCCUAGGACAUCACCAACAGCAUAAUCACUAGCGUCACACAUGAUUUCAAAAGGUAAGUUCCAAUAAGGUGGUUGAAUAAUAGGUACAGUUAUCAAAGCCUUCUUAAGUAUUUCGAAGGCUUCCUCACAAUCAUCGUCAAAGAAAAAAGGAAUAUCCUUUUGCAAGAGAUUGGUAAGAGGCCUAGAAAUCUUAGAGAAGUCUUUAAUGAACCUUCUAUAGAAACCAACAUGACCAAGGAAACUUCUUAUACCUUUGAUAUCUGUGGGGAAUGCCAUUUUCUCGAUUGCAUCAACCUUAGCCUUAUCGACUUCAAUACCUCUUUCAGAAAUUUUAUGUCCUAAUACGACGCCUUCAUUAACCAUAAAGUGGCACUUCUCCCAAUUCAAGACAAGAUUGGUGUCUUUACAUCUCUGUAAGACUCGAUCAAGGUUGCUGAGGCAAUCGUCAAAAGAAGACCCGUAAACGGAGAAGUCAUCCAUGAAAACCUCAACAAUCUUUUCACAAAAGUCAGAGAAUAUAGCCAUCAUACAUCUUUGAAAGGUGGCAGGUGUAUUACAUAAGCCAAAAGGCAUACGUCUAUAAGCAAAGGUGAUACGUCUCCAACGUAUCUAUAAUUUUUGAUGGUUUCAUGCUAUUAUCUUGUCAAACUUUGGAUGUUUUGUAUGCAUUUUAUAUCUUUUUUGGGACUAACCUAUUAAAUCAGUGCCAAGUGCCAGUUCCUGUUUUUUCCAUGUCUUUGACCCCUUUCAGAGGAGGAUUUUAAAUGGAGUCCUAAACGGAACGAAACUGCCAAAAAGAUUUUUUCUGAAACAGAAGAAGAUCGGGAAGCCUGAGAAUCAGAGCAGGGGGCCUCCAAGGACCUACAAACCCCCUAGCCGCGGCCAGGGGGGCGCCUCCCAGGCUUGUGGGCUCCGUGGGCCACCUCUUCCCUAGGUCUUUCGCCUAUAAAUUCCCUAAAAUCCCAGAAAAAAUCAGGAGAUCAUCGAAAGUACUUUUCCGCCGCCGCAAGCUUCUGUCUCCGCAAGAUCCCAUCUAGGGCACAUUCUAGUGCCCUGCCGGAGGGGGGAUUCGGAUACGGAGGGCUUCUUCAUCAACACCAUGACCUCUCCGAUGAUGCGUGAGUAGUUCACCAUAGACCUACGGGUCCAUAGCUAGUAGCUAGAUGGCUUCUUCUCUCUCUUAGAUCUUCAAUACAAAGUUCUCCAUGAUCUUCAUGGAGAUCUAUCUGAUGUAAUCUUCUUUUGCGGUGUGUUUGUCGAGAUCCGAUGAAUUGCAGAUUUAUGAUCAGAUUAUCUAUGAAUCUUAUUUGAGUUUCUUCUGAUCUCUCCUAUGCAUGAUUUCAUAUCCUUGUAAUUCUCUUCGAGUUGUGGGUUUUGUUUGGCCCACUAGAUCUAUGAUUCUUGCAAUGGGAGAAGUGCUUGGUUUUGGGUUCAUACCGUGCGGUGACCUCACCCAGUGACAGAAGGGGUAGCGAGGCACGCAUCGUGUUGUUGCCAUCAAGGGUAAAAAGAUGGGGUUUUCAUCAUUGGUUUGAGAUUAUCCCUCUACAUCAUGUCAUCUUUCUUAAAGCGUUACUCUGUUCGUCAUGAACUCAAUACACUAGAUGCAUGCUGGAUAGCGGUCGAUGUGUGGAGUAAUAGUAGUAGAUGCAGAAAGUAUCGGUCUACUUGUCUCGGACGUGAUGCCUAUAUGUAUGAUCAUUGCCUUAGAUAUCUUCAGGACUUUGCGUGGCUCUAUCAAUUGCUCGACAGUAAUUUGUUCACCCACCGUCAUAUUUGCUAAUUUGAGAGAAGCCUCUAGUGAACACUAUGGCCCCCGGGUCUACUCCACACCAUAUUUUUAGCCUUACUCUUUUUCUUCGUUGCACUUUCCGCCUUCAGACCUCACUUUGCAAUCAAUCUUGAAGGGAUUGACAACCCCUUUAUAGCGUUGGGUGCAAGCUCUUUGUGUUUGUGCAGGUACUCUGGACUUGACGAGAUUCUCCUAUUCGAUUGAUACCUUGGUUCUCAAACCGAGGGACAUACUUACAGCUCCUGUGCUGCACCACCCUUUCCUCUUCAAGGGAAAACCAACGCAAGCUCGAGAGAUGACAGAAGGUUUCUGUCGACGUAGAAAAAGGUACCGAAAGGGCAGGUGAAAGUGGUUUUCUCCUGAUCAGAUUGUGCAACUGGUAUUUGGGAGAAACCAGAAUAACCGUCUAGAAAGUAGAAGUGUGUGUGUUUAGACAGUCUUUCUAGCAUUUGGUCGAUAAAAGGCAAAGGGUAAUGAUCUUUCCUAGUGGCUUUAUUCAGUUUCCUAAAAUCAGUCACAUCCUAUAGCCAGUAAUAAUCCUCUGCGGGAUCAAUUCAUCCUUAUCAUUAGGGACAACAGUGAUGCCUCGCUUCUUAGGGACGCAAUGCACCAGACUCACCCAAUCACUAUGAGCAACAUGAUAGAUAAUACCUGCUUCCGGGAGCUUUAGUAUUUCUUUUCUUACUACCUCUUUCAUCUUAGGAUUUAAUAUCCUUUGAUGAUCAGCAACUGGCUUGGAAUCAGGAUCAGUUUUAAUCUUGUGCUCACAUAGAGUGGGACUAAUGCCCUUAAGAUCAUCAAGAGUAUAUCCAAUAGCAGGACGGUGCUUCCUCAGAGUUUUUAGUAACUUCUUUUCUUCAUGCUCUGAGAGGAUAGCACGAAUUAUAACAAUAUAUAUCUAUUUUUCAUCAAGAUAAGCAUAUUUAAGAGUAUCUAGCAACUGUUUAAGCUCGAACACAGGAUCACCCUUUGGUGGGGGUGGAUCCCCAAGCAAUUCAACAUGCAAAUUAUUCUUAAGGAUAGGAUAUUGUUCUAAGACAACUCUAUCUAUUUCAUCCCUUUCAUCCACGUGCAUAUCAUUUUCAUGCUCAAGCAAGUAUUGCUCUAAGGUAUCAGUAGGAGGCACGACAAUAGAAGCUAGAGCAAUAGUUUCAUCCUUACUAGGCAACUUUUUUUCAUGAGGUUGUGUACCAAACUUGGAGAAAUUGAACUCGUGUGACACACCUUCGAAGCCAACAGUGAUAGUUUGCUUCUCACAGUCAAUAUGAGCAUUGCCGGUAUUGAGGAAGGGUCUGCCAAAUACGAUGGGACAAAAGCUAUCUUGAGCGGUAGCAAGAACGAGGAAAUCAGGAGGAUACUUCGUUUUACCACACAAGACUUCAACAUCCCUAACAAUUCCCACAGGGCAGAUAGUAUCUCUAUUGGCAAGCUGAAUAGUGACAUCAAUAGGUUCUAUCUCAAUAGGUGCAAUCUCGUCUUUGUGAUCGAAAUAGGUUGCAAUUGCACUUGAUUAUAUAUAUCUACGUUCGAUCGUGCAAGCAAUGAUGCAAUAAUGACGAAGAUCGAUGGAAGGGAUGCAACAAGGAAAGCCGGUAUGAACUCUAUUUGUUUCUCCUUUUGUACAUAUGCAUGUACUUAUGAUCUAGAGACCAGCUUGCAGCGACAUAGUGUUAUGUUUACAAUGCUCUCCCAGUAGUUCAUGCUUUCUUUGUGACUAGUCUCAAAUUGAUGGAGUGCAUAAUGUGUUAUUGGAAUGAUUUGCAUGCAUUGCAUUGUUCAUGGUUUGGCAUAUUGAAGUGGUAUCUCCCAUCGGAGAGUUCUAGGAUCAACUUGGCACAUGCUUACACAUGUUUGUGACUAGAAGUCUAUUAAGCCUUGAUGAUAUUUUUAUUUCAGAAUAGUUAUAUCGCUUUUGUGCCCGAUUCAAUGUUGCUUUGUCGCUCUGCAUGAUUAUGACCGUUAUUGCUCUCUAGUUGGACGCUUCCCCAUCUUUUGCUAGGCUUCGCCUGUACUAAGCGGACUAACUGCUUGUGCAUCCAAAAUCCUUCAAACCAGUUGCGCCAUAUGAGUCCACGAUACUUACCUAUAUGCGGCAUUUAAGUGUGAUGACCCACAAGUACAGGGGAUCAAUCGUAGUCCUUUCGAUAAGUAAGAGUGUCGAACCCAGCGAGGAGCAGAAGGAUCUGACAAGUGGUUUUCAACAAGGAAAUAUCUACAAGCACUGAAAUUAUCGGUAACAAGUGAUUGUGUGGUGAGAUGAUUCGUAGCAAGCAACAAGUAAGAAAAGUAGCAACGGUGCAAAAAAGUGGCCCAAUCCCUUUUGUAGCAAGGGACGAGCCUGGACAAAUUCUUAUAGGAGGAAAAACGCUCCCGAGGAACACGGGAAUUUCUGUCAUGCUAGUUUUCAUCAUGUUCAUAUGAUUCGCGUUCGUUACUUUGAUAGUUUGAUAUGUGGGUGGACCGGCGCUUGGUUACUGCCCUUACUUGGACAAGAAUCCCACUUAUGAUUAACCCCUCUCGCAAGCAUCCGCAACUACGAAAGAAGAAUUAAGACAAAGUCUAACCAUAGCAUUAAACUAGUGGAUCCAAAUCAGCCCCUUACGAAGCAACACAUAAACUAGGGUUUAAGCUUCGUUCCCUCUAGCAACCCAUCGUCUACUUACUACUUCCCAAUGCCCUCCUCUAGGCCCAAAUAAUGGUGAAGUGUUAUGUAGUUGACAUUCACAUAACACCAGUAGAGGAAAAACAACAUACAACACAUCAAAAUAUCGAACGAAUACCAAAUUCACAUGACUACUAUUAGCAUGACUUAUCCCAUGUCCUCAGGAACAAAAGUAACUACUCACAAAGCAUAAUCAUAUUCAUGACCAGAGAGGUAAUGAGUAACAUCAAAGAUCUGAACAUUAACUCUUGCACCAAGUAAUCCAACUAGCAUCAACUACAAGGAGUAAUUAACACUAUCUAGCAACCUUACAAGUACCAAUCGGAGUCGCGAGGCGGAGAUUGCUUACAAGUGAUGAACUAGGGUUUGGAAAUGAGAUGGUGCUGAUGAAGAUGUUGAUGGUGACGAGUCCCCUCCGAUAAGAGGAGUGUUGGUGAUGACGAUGGCGAUGAUUUACCCCUCCGGGAGGGAAGUUUCCCCGGCAGGAUCGUCCUACCGGAGCUCUAGAUUGGUUCUGCUCAAGUUCCGCCUCGUGGCGGCGGCGAAUCCUCCGAAAAGCCUCCUCCUGAUUUUUUCCGCACGAAACCCUUCUUGUAGCAAAAGGGGGGAGCCAGAGGGCCAGCUGGGUGCCCACAAGCCCCCUAGGCGCGGCCAGGGGGGUGGCCGCACCUAGCAGGCUUGUGGCCACCUGCUGGCGCCCCUCUGGCACUUCUUCGGCCCAAUAUUUUUUAUAAAUCCCGAAAAAAUCAUUGUUGAUUUUCACGAAAUUUGGAGUUGCGCAGAAUAGGUAUCUCAAACUUGCUCCUUUUUCAGGCCAGAAUUCCAGCUGCCGGCAUUCUCCCUCUUCAUGUAAACCUUGUUGGAAAUAUGCCCUAGAGGCAAUAAUAAAAUGGUUAUUAUCAUAUUUCCUUGUUCAUGAUAAUCAUCUAUUGUUCAUGCUAUAAUUGUAUUAACAGGAAACAGUAAUACAUGUGUGAAUAAAUAGAUCAGAAUGUGUCCCUAGCAAGCCUCUAGUUAGCUAGCUCGUUAGUCAAUAGAUGAUCAUGGUUUCCUGAUUAUGGGUAUUAGAUGUCAUUGAUGACGGGAUCACAUCAUUGGAGAAUGAUGUGAUGGACAAGACCCAAUCCUAAGCAUAGCACUAUAUCGUAUUGUUCGUAUGCUAAAGCUUUUCUAAUGUCAAGUGUACUUUCCUUCGACCGUGAGAUUGUGCAACUCCCGGAUACCGUAGGAGUGCUUUGGGUGUAUCAAAUGUCACAACGUAACUGGGUGACUAUAAAGGUGCACUACGGGUAUCUCUGAAAGUGUCUGUUGGGUUGGUACGAAUCGAGAUCUGGAUUUGUCACUCCGUGUNNNNNNNNNNNNNNNNNNNNNNNNNNNNNNNNNNNNNNNNNNNNNNNNNNNNNNNNNNNNNNNNNNNNNNNNNNNNNNNNNNNNNNNNNNNNNNNNNNNNNNNNNNNNNNNNNNNNNNNNNNNNNNNNNNNNNNNNNNNNNNNNNNNNNNNNNNNNNNNNNNNNNNNNNNNNNNNNNNNNNNNNNNNNNNNNNNNNNNNNNNNNNNNNNNNNNNNNNNNNNNNNNNNNNNNNNNNNNNNNNNNNNNNNNNNNNNNNNNNNNNNNNNNNNNNNNNNNNNNNNNNNNNNNNNNNNNNNNNNNNNNNNNNNNNNNNNNNNNNNNNNNNNNNNNNNNNNNNNNNNNNNNNNNNNNNNNNNNNNNNNNNNNNNNNNNNNNNNNNNNNNNNNNNNNNNNNNNNNNNNNNNNNNNNNNNNNNNNUGAUUGAAUCCUUGACAUCGUGGUUCAUCCGAUGAGAUCAUCGUGGAGCAAGUGGGAGCCACCAUGGGUAUCUAGACCCCGCUGAUGGUUAUUGGCCAGAGAGGUGUCUCGGUCAUGUCUGCCUGUCUCCCGAACCCGUAGGGUCUACACACUUAAGGUUUGGUGAUGCUAGGGUUAUAGGGAGUUGUUAUACGAGGUUACCGAAAGUUGUUCGGAGUCCCGGAUGAGAUCCCAGACGUCACGAGGAGAUCCGGAAUGGUCCGGAGGUAAAGAUUGAUAUAUAGGACGGAUGGUUUCGGACACCGGAAGUGUUUCGGGCAUCACCGGUAACGUACCGGGACCACUGGGACCACCGGAGGUGGCCCCGGGGGUCCACCGAAGGGGGGCAACGACCCCGGGAGGUAAGAUGGGCCAAGUGGGGAAGGGAACCAGCCCCUAGGUGGGCUAGUGCGCCUCCCCACUCAGCCUAAUGCGCAGGGGAGAGAAAAGGGGGGGGGCAAACCCUAAGCCAGGUGGGCCUAAGGCCCACCAGGGGCGCGCCACACCGCUCCUCCCCCCCUUGGCCGCCGCACCAGCCCCCAUCUAGGGAUGCCGCCCCCCAGGAGGGGGAAACCCUCAAGGGGGCGCAGCCCCUCCCUUCCCCUAUAUAUAUACCGGGCACUUUUGGCCAUUGGGAGAUAGACUUCUCCCUCUCCCUCGGCGCAGCCCUGCCCCUCUUCCUCCUCCUCNNNNNNNNNNNNNNNNNNNNNNNNNNNNNNNNNNNNNNNNNNNNNNNNNNNNNNNNNNNNNNNNNNNNNNNNNNNNNNNNNNNNNNNNNNNNNNNNNNNNNNNNNNNNNNNNNNNNNNNNNNNNNNNNNNNNNNNNNNNNNNNNNNNNNNNNNNNNNNNNNNNNNNNNNNNNNNNNNNNNNNNNNNNNNNNNNNNNNNNNNNNNNNNNNNNNNNNNNNNNNNNNNNNNNNNNNNNNNNNNNNNNNNNNNNNNNNNNNNNNNNNNNNNNNNNNNNNNNNNNNNNNNNNNNNNNNNNNNNNNNNNNNNNNNNNNNNNNNNNNNNNNNNNNNNNNNNNNNNNNNNNNNNNNNNNNNNNNNNNNNNNNNNNNNNNNNNNNNNNNNNNNNNNNNNNNNNNNNNNNNNNNNNNNNNNNNNNNNNNNNNNNNNNNNNCCCCAACCUCUCCCUCCUUCUUGCUGGAUCAAGGUGCGGGAGACGUCACCGGGCUGCACGUGUGUUGAACGCGGAGGUGUCGUAGUUCGGCACUAGAUCGGAAUUGCCGCGAGUAUGACUCCAUCAACCGCAUCCUAGCAACGCUUCCGCUUAGCGAUCUUCAAAGGUAUGAAGAUGCUCUUACCCCUCUCUCGUUGCUGGUCUCUCCAUAGGAAGAUCUGAAUAUGCAUAGGAAAAUUUUGAAUUUAUGCUACGUUACCCAACAGUGGCAUCCGAGCGAGGUUUUCUACGCGUAGAUUCUAUGCACGAGUAGAACACAAAAGUUGUGGGCGAUGAUUUGUCAAUUUUCUUGCCGCUACUAGUCUUAUUCUAUUCCGGAGGUAUUGUGGGAUGAAGCGGCCCGGACCAACUUUACACGUACGCUUACAUGAGACUGGUUCCACCGACAGACAUGCACACCGUGCAUAAAGGUGGCUAGUGGGUGUCUGUCUCUCCUACUCUAGUCGGAUUGGAUUUGAUGAAAAGGGUCCUUAUGAAGGGUAAAUAGAUUUGUCAUAUCAUCGUUGUGGCUGUCACGUAGGUAAGAAGGCGUUCUAUCUAGAAACCCAAAUCAGCCACGUAAAACUUGCAACAACAAUUAGAGGACGUCUAACUUGUUUUUGCAGGGUUUGACAUGUGAUGUGAUAUGGCCAAAGUUGUGAUGUUGCAUGUAUGAUGUAUGAGAUGAUCAUGUUAUUGUAAUAGGUUUCACGACUUGCAUGUCGAUGAGUAUGACAACCGGCAGGAGCCAUAGGAGUUGUCUUAAUUUAUUGUAUGAGAUGCAACGCCAUGUGCUUACUACUUUUACUUCAUUGCUAACGGUUAGCUAUAGUAGUAGUGAUAGUAGUAGUUGGCGUGACGACUUCACGGAGACACGAUGAUGGAGAUCAUGGUGUCACGCCGGUGACGAUAAUGAUCAUGCGAUGCCUGAAGAUGGAGAUCGAAAGGGCGAAGAUGAUAAUGGCCAUAUCAUGUCACUAUAUGAUUGCACUGUGAUGUUUAUCAUGUUUUUCAUCUUAUUGCUUAGAAUGACGGUAGCAUAAUAAGAUGAUCCCUCUUAAAAUUUCGAGAACGUAUUCCCCUAAGUGUGCACCGUUGCGAAGGAUCGUUGUCUCGAAGCACCACGUGAUGAUCGGGUGUGAUAGAUUCUAACGUUCGCAUACUACGGGUGUAAGCCAGAUUUACACACGCAAAACACCUAGGUUGACUCGACGAGCUUAGCAUGUACAGACAUGACCUCGAAUACAAGAGACCGAAAGGUCGAACAUGAGUCGUAUGGUUGAAUACGAUCAUCAUGAAGUUGCUCACCAUGGUGACUAGUCCGUCUCACGUGAUGAUCGGACACGGGUUAGUCAACAUGGAUCAUGUAUCACUUAGAUGACUAGAGGGAUGUCGAUUUAAGUGGGAGUUCAUACUUAAUAUGAUUAAAUGAAUUUAAUUGUCAUGAACUUAGUCUAAAAGCUGUCUUUAUAAAUAUUGUAGAUGGCCAACGUCAACCUCAAUUUCAAUGCAUUCCUAGAGAAAAACAAGCUGGAAGAUGAUGGUAGCAACUAUGCGGACUGGGUUUGCAACUUGAAGCUCAUCCUUGAAGCAGCUAAAAAGGCUUAUGUCCUUGGUGCGCCGCUAGGUGAGCCUCCCACUCCCGCAGCAGCCCAGGACAUUCUGAACGUCUGGCAAACGCGGAGUGAUGACUACUCUCUGGUUAGGUGUGGCAUGUUAUACAGUUUAGAAAUGGGGCUCCAAAGGCGUUUUGAGCAACACGGAGCAUAUGAGAUGUUCCAAGAGCUAAAGCUAGUUUUCAAGCUCAUGCCCGUGUCGAGAGAUAUGAAGUCUCCGACAAGUUCUUUAGCUGUAAGAUGGAGGAGAACAGUUCUGUCAGUGAGCACAUACUCAAAAUGUCUGGGUUACACGGUCGUCUGACUUCACUUGGAGUUGAACUUCCAGAUGAUGCUAUAAUUGACAGAAUCCUCCAGUCUCUCCCACCAAGCUAUAAAGGCUUUGUGCUUAACUACAACAUGCAAGGGAUGGAGAAGACCAUUCCCGAGUUGUACUCGAUGCUCAAGUCUGCAGAAGUAGAAAUCAAGAAAGAGCAUCAAGUGUUGAUAGUCAACAAGACCACUAGUUUCAAGAAGGGCAAGGGUAAGAAGAACUUCAAGAAAGACGACAAAUCUGUUGCCGCGCCCGGUAAGCCAGAUGCCGGGAAGAAGAAAAAUAAUGGCCCCAAGCCUGAGACUGAGUGCUUCUAUUGCAAGGGAAAGGGUCACUGGAAGCGGAACUGCCCCAAAUACUUAGCGGACAAGAAGGCCGGCAACGUAAGGUAUAUGUGAUAUACAUGUUAUUGAUGUGUACCUUACCAGCGCUCGUAGUAGCUCCUGGGUAUUUGAUACCGGUGUUGUUGCUCACAUUUGCAACUCAAAGCAGGAACUGCGGAAUAAGCGGAGUCUGGCCAAGGACGAGGUGACGAUGCGCGUGGGGAAUGGUUCCAAAGUCGAUGUGAUCGCCGUCGGCAUGCUACCUCUACAUCUACCGUCGGGAUUUGUUUUAAACCUUAAUAAUUGUUAUUUAGUACCAGCUUUGAGGAUGAAUAUUGUAUCAGGGUCUUGCUUAAUGCGAGACGGCUACUCAUUUAAGUCAGAGAAUAAUGGUUGUUCUAUUUAUAUGAGUGAUAUGUUUUAUGGUCAUGCUCCGCUGGUGAAUGGUUUAUUCUUGACGAAUAUCGAUCGUGAUGUUACACAUAUUCAUAGUGUGAGUACCAAAAGAUGUAGGGUUGAUAAUGAUAGUCCCACAUACCUGUGGCACUGCCGCCUUGGUCAUAUCGGCGUUAAGCGCAUGAAGAAGCUCCAUACUGAUGGACUAUUAGAGUCUCUUGACUUUGAAUCAUUUGACACAUGCGAACCGUGCCUCAUGGGCAAGAUGACUAAGACUCCAUUCUCAGGAAUAAUGGAGAGAGCAACCGACUUAUUGGAAAUAAUACAUACUGAUGUGUGUGGUCCAACGAACGUUGAAGCUCGCGGUGGCUAUCGUUAUGUUCUCACUCUCACCGAUGAUUUGAGUAGGUAUGGGUAUAUCUACUUGAUGAAGCACAAAUCUGAGACAUUUGAAAAGUUCAAGGAAUUUCAGAGUGAGGUCGAGAAUCAACGUGACAGAAAAAUUAAGUGUCUACGAUCUGAUCGUGGAGAAGAAUAUUUGAGUCACGAGUUUGGCACACACCUAAGGAAGUGUGGAAUCGUUUCACAACUGACGCCGCCUGGCACACCGCAACGCAAUGGAGUGUCUGAACGUUGUAAUCGCACUUUAUUAGAUAUGGUACGAUCUAUGAUGUCUCUUACCGACUUACCGCUAUCAUUUUGGGGAUACACGUUAGAAACUGCAGCAUUCACUUUAAAUAGGGCACCGUCUAAAUCCGUUGAGACGACACCGUAUGAACUAUGGUUCGGCAAGAAACCUAAGUUGUCGUUUCUUAAAGUUUGGGGCUACGAUGCUUAUGUGAAGAAACUUCAACCAGAAAAGCUCGAACCCAAAGCGGAGAAAUGUGUAUUCAUAGGAUACCCUAAGGAAACUAUUGGGUAUACCUUCUAUCUUAGAUCCGAAGGUAAAACCUUUGUUGCCAAGAACGGAUCCUUUCUAGAGAAAGAGUUUCUCUCGAAAUAAGUAAGUGGGAGGAAGGUAGAACUUGAUGAGGUAAUUACACCCCCUCUCGAACAGGAUAGUAGCACAACGCGGGAAGUUGUUCCUCUGGCGCCUGCACCAACUGAAGAGGAAGUUAAUGAUAAUGAUCAUGAAGCUUCGGAUCAAGUUACUACUGAACCGCGAAGGUCCACAAGGGCACGCUCCUCACGAGAGUGGUACGGCAACCCUGUGAUGGAAAUCAUGUUGUUAGACAACGGUGAACCUUCGAACUAUGAAGAAGCGAUGGCGGGCCCGGAUUCCAACAAAUGGCUUGAGGCUAUGAAAUCCGAGUUAGGAUCCAUGUAUGAGAACAAAGUAUGGACUUUGGUGGACUUGCCCGAUGACCGGCGAGCCAUAGAAAAUAAAUGGAUCUUCAAGAAGAAGACUGAUGCAAACGGUAAUGUAACCGUUUACAAAGCUCAACUUGUCGCAAAGGGUUUUCGACAAAUUCAAGGAGUUGACUACGAAGAGACUUUCUCUCCCGUAGCGAAGCUGAAAUCAGUCCGAAUCAUGUUAGCAAUUGCCGCCUUUUAUGAUUAUGAAAUUUGGCAAAUGGACGUCAAAACAGCGUUCCUUAACGGGAACCUUAAGGCAGAGUUGUAUAUGAUGCAACCAGAAGGUUUUGUCGACCCUAAGGGUGCUAACAAAGUGUGCAAGCUCCAACACUCCAUCUAUGGGCUGGUGCAAGCAUCUCGGAGUUGGAACAUUCGCUUUAAUGAGGUGAUUAAAGCGUUUGGGUUCAUACAGGUUUACGGAGAAGCCUGUCUGUACAAGAAAGUGAGUGGGAGCUCUGUAGCUUUCCUCAUACUGUAUGUGGAUGACAUAUUAUUGAUGGGGAAUAUUAUAGAGAUGUUGGAGAGCAUAAAGGCCUAUUUGAACAAGAGUAUUUCAAUGAAGGACCUUGGAGAAGCUUCAUACAUAUUAGGCAUCAAGAUCUAUAGAGAUAGAUCAAGACGCCUCAUAGGUCUUUCGCAAAGUACAUACCUUGACAAGAUAUUGAAGAAGUUCAAUAUGGAAAACUCAAAGAAAGGGUUCUUGCCAGUUUUGCAAGGUAUGAGAUUGAGUAAGACUCAGUCGCCGACCACGGCAGCAGAAAGAGAGAAGAUGAGUUCUGUCCCCUACGCUUCAGCCGUGGGCUCUCUAAUGUAUGCCAUGCUGUGUACCAGACCUGAUAUAAACCUUGCCAUAAGUUUGGUAGGGAGGUACCAAAGUGAUCCCGGUAUGGAACACUAGACAGCGGUCAAGAAUAUCCUUAAGUACCUGAAAAGGACUAAGGAAAUGUUUCUCGUUUAUGGAGGUGAUGAAGAGCUCGUCGUAAAGGGUUAUGUCGACGCUAGCUUCGACACAUAUCCGGAUGACUCUAAGUCACAGAGCGGAUACGUAUAUGUGUUGAAUGGUGGGGCAGUGAGCUGGUGUAGCAGCAAGCAAGAAGUCGUGGCAGCAUCUACAUGUGAAGCGGAGUACAUAGCUGCUUCAGAAGCGGCCCAUGAAGGAAUUUGGAUGAAGGAGCUCAUCACCGACCUUGGAGUGGUUCCAAGCACGUCGGGUCCAAUGACACUCUUCUGUGAUAACACUAGGGACAUUGCCAUAGCCAAGGAGCCUAGGUUUGAUCGGAAGACGAAGCACAUCAAACGCCGCUACAACUCCAUCCAGGACCAUGUCCAGAGUGGAGUAAUAGAUAUUUGUAAAGUACACACGGAUCUGAAUAUUGCAGACCCGUUGACUAAACCUCUUCCACGAGGAAAACAUGAUCAACACCAUAAUGCUAUGGGUGUUCGAUACAUCACAAUUUAACUAGAUUAUUGACUCUAGUGCAAGUGGGAGACUGUUGGAAAUAUGCCAUAGAGGCAAUAAUAAAAUGGUUAUUAUCAUAUUUCCUUGUUCAUGAUAAUCGUCUAUUGUUCAUGCUAUAAUUGUAUUAACAGGAAACAGUAAUACAUGUGUGAAUAAAUAGAUCACAAUGUGUCCCUAGCCAACCUCUAGUUAGCUAGCUCGAUAGUCAAUAGAUGAUCAUGGUUCCCUGAUCAUGGGCAUUAGAUGUCAUUGAUGACGGGAUCACAUCAUUGGAGAAUGAUGUGAUGGACAAGACCCAAUCCUAAGCAUAGCACUAGAUCGUAUUGUUCGUAUGCUCAAGCUUUUCUAAUGUCAAGUGUCUUUUCCUUCGACCGUGAGAUUGUGCAACUCCCGGAUACCGUAGGAGUGCUUUGGGUGUAUCAAACGUCACAACGUAACUGGGUGACUAUAAAGGUGCACUACGGGUAUCUCUGAAAGUGUGUGUUGGGUUGGUACGAAUCGAGAUCGGGAUUUGUCACUCCGUGNNNNNNNNNNNNNNNNNNNNNNNNNNNNNNNNNNNNNNNNNNNNNNNNNNNNNNNNNNNNNNNNNNNNNNNNNNNNNNNNNNNNNNNNNNNNNNNNNNNNNNNNNNNNNNNNNNNNNNNNNNNNNNNNNNNNNNNNNNNNNNNNNNNNNNNNNNNNNNNNNNNNNNNNNNNNNNNNNNNNNNNNNNNNNNNNNNNNNNNNNNNNNNNNNNNNNNNNNNNNNNNNNNNNNNNNNNNNNNNNNNNNNNNNNNNNNNNNNNNNNNNNNNNNNNNNNNNNNNNNNNNNNNNNNNNNNNNNNNNNNNNNNNNNNNNNNNNNNNNNNNNNNNNNNNNNNNNNNNNNNNNNNNNNNNNNNNNNNNNNNNNNNNNNNNNNNNNNNNNNNNNNNNNNNNNNNNNNNNNNNNNNNNNNNNNNUGAUUGAAUCCUUGACAUUGUGGUUCAUCCGAUGAGAUCAUCGUGGAGCAAGUGGGAGCCACCAUGGGUAUCCAGACCCCGCUCAUGGUUAUUGGCCAGAGAGGUGUCUCGGUCAUGUCUGCCCGUCUCCCGAACCCGUAGGGUCUACACACUUAAGGUUCGGUGACGCUAGGGUUAUAGGGAAUUGUUAUACGAGGUUACCGAAAGUUGUUCGGAGUCCCGGAUGAGAUCUCGGACACCACGAGGAGAUCCGGAAUGGUCCGGAGGUAAAGAUUGAUAUAUAGGACGGAUGGUUUCGGACACCGAAAGUGUUUCGGGCAUCACCGGUAACGUACCGGGACCACCGGAGGUGGCCCGGGGGGUCCACCGAAGGGGGGUAACGACCCCGGGAGGUAAGAUGGGCCAAGUGGGGAAGGGAACCAGCCCCUAGGUGGGCUGUUGCGCCUCCCCACUCAGCCCAAUGUGCAGGGGAGAGAAAAGGGGUGGGGCAAACCCUAAGCCAGGUGGGCCUAAGGCCCACCAGGGGUGCGCCACACCCCUCCUCCCCCCUUGGCCGCCGCACCAGCCCCCAUCUAGGGCUGCCGCCCCCCCAGGAGGGGGAAACCCUCAAGGGGGUGCAACCCCUCCCUUCCCCUAUAUAUACCGGGCACUUUUGGCCAUUGGGAGAUAGACUUCUCCAUCUCCCUCGGCGCAGCCCUCCCCUCUUCCUCCUCCUCNNNNNNNNNNNNNNNNNNNNNNNNNNNNNNNNNNNNNNNNNNNNNNNNNNNNNNNNNNNNNNNNNNNNNNNNNNNNNNNNNNNNNNNNNNNNNNNNNNNNNNNNNNNNNNNNNNNNNNNNNNNNNNNNNNNNNNNNNNNNNNNNNNNNNNNNNNNNNNNNNNNNNNNNNNNNNNNNNNNNNNNNNNNNNNNNNNNNNNNNNNNNNNNNNNNNNNNNNNNNNNNNNNNNNNNNNNNNNNNNNNNNNNNNNNNNNNNNNNNNNNNNNNNNNNNNNNNNNNNNNNNNNNNNNNNNNNNNNNNNNNNNNNNNNNNNNNNNNNNNNNNNNNNNNNNNNNNNNNNNNNNNNNNNNNNNNNNNNNNNNNNNNNNNNNNNNNNNNNNNNNNNNNNNNNNNNNNNNNNNNNNNNNNNCCCCAACCUCUCCCUCCUCCUUGCUGGAUCAAGGUGCGGGAGACGUCACCGGGUUGCACGUGUGUUGAACGCGGAGGUGCCGUAGUUCGGCACUAGAUCAGAAUCGCUGCGAGUACGACUCCAUCAACCGCGUUCUAGCAACGCUUCCGCUUAGCGAUCUUCAAAGGUACGAAGAUGCUCUUACCCCUCUCUCAUUGCUGGUCUCUCCAUAGGAAGAUCUGAAUAUGCGUAGGAAAAUUUUGAAUUUAUGCUACGUUACCCAACAAACCUUGCAAAAUAAGAGAGAAAAGGCAUAAGUAUUGUACCGUGAAGUGAAAUAACAGCCCAAAUAGCAAUGAAUAUCAACAUGAAAACAUGAUGCAAAAUGAACGUAUCAAUGUGCCGUCCUAAGUAAAUUUGCAUGUGUCGUGCUCUAAAUCUUCAAAUGAAUAUUUUGUUUUGUAUGCCGAAUCGCUCAUGUAGUGGCUAGGGGCUAUCAGUAUCUUCCAUGCUAAGUGGGUUAUUCUCAAGAUAUGUGUUGAUUCACUAUCAUUCACGAGAAAGUGGCUGGUAACUGGGAUGCCCAGUUCCAUGCUCAAAAGCCAAAUCAAAUUUAAUGAAACAAAACUCCCCCAGGAUUGGUGUUUGUAUGGACGGUACCCGUGGAUUCGGCCCGCCAUGGAUUGUGAUCGAUUGGUGGAGGGGGAGUAAAAGCUUUACUAUUCUGUUUGGGAACCACCUAUAAUGUAUUUAGCAUGGAAGAUAUUGAGAUCUUUUAGUUGUUACGUUGACAAUGAAAGCAUACCACCCAAAAUUUUGAUUCAUUUCUGUUUUAAAAGCUCAAGUUCUGACACCUCUGCAAAUCAAUGCUUCCCUCUGUGAAGGGUAUAUCUAUUUUACUAUACCGUUGAGUCGUCUUCUUAUUAUAAAAAAGCACCAACUAUAGAGAGCAUAAUUGUCAUUCUGAGUGUAAUGUGCAUUGUCCCAAAGUACCACAUUGUCUUCUGCAUGAUUGUGAUAUUAGUUAUUCUGAAAUAUUUAUUUCUAGUCUCCUUUAAGACUCCGAAGGAGCAUAUGCAUUUAUGUUUUGCUUCACUCUUAGGGGCUAGCGAGAUACCACUCUAGUAUGUCCGAGUCAUGUGCAUUGUGAUCUCGUCAUGAUUUUCUGUUGCAUAUUAUUCAUUCUUAGUUGCUUGAAACUCUUCACAUGAUCGAAUGAUUGCUUCGUGCAUUGUCUUUAUAGCAUUGCUUCAAUACUUGUUGUACUCGUUCGUGGUUCAUGCUUAUAUACAUCUGAUGAAGCAAAAGAGUUUGUCAAAGUUUUCUUUGUCGCGUCCAGUUCGUUGAACUGAAUUGCUUGAGGACAAGCAAUAUGCUAAGUUUGGGGGAGUUCAUACAUCUCAAACGUAUCGACUUUUCCAAACACUUUUGCUAUUGUUUUGGCCUCAUUCUUGCAUGAUUUGAAUGAAAUUAACCCGGACUGACAUUGUUUUCAGUAGAGCUGCCUAUAUGGUUUUCUUGUGUGCAGGAAAAUGGUUAUUUAGGCGUCCCGGAAAAUUCCAAUAAAAAUAGAGAAAAUCCAUGCACCAGGAGGAACACUGGGCCAGAAGAUGGGCCAGAGGGGGGCCACCAGGCCUCCAGGCGACCUGUGGGUGUGGCUUGCCCCCUGGUCGCGCCGAGAGGCCGCCUGGGUGGGGUCCACCCCCUCUGGUGCCCUACUUUGGCUCCUAUUUUUACCCGUGAUGGAGAAAUUCUAGAACAGAAGUCGUUUUGCAAGUUCUUGACGCGGAGCCGCCGCCACCCUCGAUUCUUCUCCAAGAGAGCUAAUCUCGGGGCUGUCGUGGCCUCCGGAGAGGGGAAAUCGUCGCCAUCAUCAUCACCAUCACCACUCCAUCACCCUUCCAUGGCUUCUCCCAUCAUGUGUGAGUAAUUCCAUGUUGUGGGUGAAGGGGAUGGUAGGGAUUGGAUGAGUUAGAUCAUGUAAUAGUUCGUCGGAUUGUUGGGGGCAUGUUGUGUGUCAUCUACUAUGUUGUUUAUCAUCUUUGCUACUACUUGUUACUCUUAAUGCUUGUCACUUAGGGCCCGAGUGCCAUGAUUUCAGAUCUGAAUACCUUAUGUUUUCAUGAAUAUAUUUGUGUUCUUGAUCCUAUCUAUGAGUAGUAUGCACCUAUUAUAGUCCGGAACCAGCGAUCCCAAUGGUGACAGCUUGGGACACCAAAGGGGAUAGACUAUAAUUUGAGGAUUCCAUGUAUCCAUUGAUUGUUAAUGCUUUGUUCUGGUGCUCUUUGAUAGGAGCACCUUAAUCUCCAUAAGUUCCUUUUGGCCCCGUUGGUAGCGGGAUGGUAGGACAAAAGAUGUUGUGCAAGUUCUUAUUGCAAGCACGCACGACUACCUUGGAAUACAUGCCUAAUGUUUGACAUUUGCCUAGAUGAUCAUUACUUUUCUGUGUGCCGUGCCCCAAGUUAAAUACAUGAUAUCUCUCAUUCAUGACCGACCAUCCAUCUCCCUAGCCUACAGUGUUUUAAUCCUGCUAGUCACAAGUUACUUUACUUUUGCUGUUUUACUUUUGUUGCUUUGCCACACUUAUUUAUGUUGCCACCAUCACUUCCAUAUCACCGUUGCUACUAAUAUUUCGUUGCCAAGCAAAUAUCUUUCAGGUGCGGUUGAAUUGACAACUCAACUGUUAAAGCUUAUAAAUAUUCUUUGGCUCCUCUUAUGUCGAAUCAAUAAAUUGGGUUAUCUUACCCGCGAAGACUAUUGCGAUCCCCUACACUUGUGGGUUAUCAGUAUCGCAUAAAACCAAAGUUGUCAGAAUCAUGACUCAAGUCCUAGAAUCUUAGGACUUUACGAUCCAAACUAGCCCCUCCGAUUCUACGAUUUUGUUUAUAGAAUCUAAGUUUCUAUGAUCCUAGUAGUUAUGAUUCUACGAUUCACGAUCCUACCAACGGAGCUUCGAUCCGAUUCAGAAUCACGAUUCUGACAACCUUGCAUCAAACCUUUCCUUACGGAAAUCAUCAAGGAAACAAUGUUUUGACAUCCAUCAUGCAAGAUUUUAGAAUAAAAAAAUGCAGCGACUACUAACAUAAUUCGAAAAUACUUUAGCAUCGCUACGGGUGAGAAAGUCUCAUCGUAGUCAACUCCUUGAACUUGCCGGGAAAUUCUUUGCGAAAAGUCGAGCUUUCUAAAUGGGGACAUUUACCAUCAUCGUGUGUCUUCCUUUUAAAGAUCCAUUUUUACCUAAUAGCCUUAGGACCAUCAAGUAGUUCUUCCACAGUCCACACUUUGUUUGCAUACAUGGAUACUUUCUCGGAUUUCAUGGCCUCGAGCCAUUUGUCGAAAUCCGGGGCCACCAUCGCUUCUCCAUAGCUCGUAUGUUCAUUGUUGUCCAACAACAUGACUUCCAAGACAGGAUUACCGUACCACUCUGGAGUAGUACAUGUCCUUGUCAACCUACGAGGUUGUUAGUAACUUGAUAUGAGGCUUUAUGAUCACCAUCAUUAGCUUCCUCUUCAACUGGUGUAGGCGUCAUAGGAACAACUUCCUGCGUCCUGCUACUCUCUGGUUGAAGUGACGGUUCAGUAACCUCAUCAAGUUCCACCAUCCUCCCACUCAAUUCUUUUGAGAGAAUCUCCUUCUCGAGAAAUGACCCGUUCUAAGCAACAAACACUUUGCCUUUGGAUGUGAGAUAUCAGGCAUACCCAACUGUUUUCUUUGGGUAUCCUAUGAAGAUGCAUUUAUCCGCUUUGGGUUUGAGCUUAUCAGGCUGAAACCUUUUUGACAUAAGCAUCGCAGCCCCAAACUUUAAGAAACGACAGCUUAGGUUUCUUGCCAAACCAUAGUUCAUACGGUGUCAUCUCAACGGAAUUAUAUGGUGCCCUAUUUAAUGUGAAUGUGGUUGUCUCUAAUGCAUAAUCCCACAAUGAUAGUGGUAAAUUGGUAAGAGACAUCAUCGUAUGCAUCAUAUCCAAUAGGGCAUGGCUACGAUGUACACACACACCAUCACACUAUGAUGUUCCAUAUGGCAUAAGUUGUGAAACAAUUUCCACAUUGUCUUAAAUGUAUAUCAAAAUUGUAACUCAUAUAUUCACCUCUACGAUCACAUAGUAGACAUUUUAUCCCCUUGUCAUGAUGAUCUUCAACUUCACUCUGAAAUUGCUUGAACUUUUUAACAUUUCAGACUUUUGAUCCAUCAAGUAAAUAUACCCGUAUCUACUCAAAUCAUCUGUGAAGUAAGAACAUAUCGAUACCCACUGCGUGCUUCAACACUCAUUGGAUUGCAUACAUCAAAAUGUAUUAUUUCCAAUAAUUCACUAGCCCGUUCCAUCUCACUGGAAAACGAGGCCUUCAGUCAUCUUGCCCAUGUGGUUUGCAUGUCUCAAGCGAUUCAAAAUCAAGUGAGUCCAAAAGAUCCAUCAACAUGGAGUUUUUUUCAUGCAUUCUACACCAAUAGGCAUGGUUCACAUGUCUCAAACGAUUCAAAAUCGAGUGAGUCCAAAGAUCCAUCAGCAUGAAGUUUCUUCAUGCAUUUUAUAUGAAUAUGACCUAAGCAUCAGUGCCAUAAGUGGUACUAUCAUUACUAAAUUUGUAUCUUUUGGCAUAAAUACUAUGAACGUGUGUAUCACUACGACCGAGAUUCAGUAAACUAUUCACAUUGGGUGCAUGAUCAUGAAAGAUAUUAUUCAUGUAAACAGAAUAACCCAUUAUUCUCUAACUUACGUGAAUAAUCAUCUUGCAAUAAACAAAAUCAAUAUAAUGUUCAUGCUCAACGUAGACACCAAAUAACAUUUAUUUAGGUUACCAGUCAUCCUGAAGGCAGAUGGAGCGUGCGAUGGUGAUCACAUCAACCUUGGAAACACUUCCAACACACAUCGACACCUCCCCCUUAGCUAGUCUUCGUUUAUUCCGCAACUCUUGUUUCGAGUUACUAAUAUUAGCAACUGAACUGGUAUCAAAUACCCCGGGGCUAUAAUGAGCACUAGUAAGGAACAUGUUAAUAACAUGUAUAUCUAAUAUACCUUUGUUGACAUUGCCAGCCUUCUUAUGUGCCAAGUAUCUGGGAUAGUUCCGCUUCCAGUGACCACUCCCCUCAUAACACAAGCACUCAGUCUCGGGUUUGGGUUCAACCUUUGGUUUGUUCACUAGAGCGACAACAGGUUUAUCAUCCUCGAAGUUUCCCUUCUUGCCCUUACCCUUCUUGAAAAUAGUGGUUUUACGAACCAUCAACACUUGAUGCUCCUUAUUGAUUUCUACCUUCGUGGUGUCAAACAUCGCGAUUAGCUCAGGGAUCAUCUUCUUCAUCCCUGAUAUGCUAUAGUUCAUCACAAAGCUCCAACACCUUGGUGGCAGUUACUUUGGAGAACUAUGUCAAUCACUAUCUUAUCUGGAAGAUCAACCCCCACUUGAUUCAAGUGAUCGUAGUACCCAGACAAUCUGAGCACAUGCUCAUCGAUUGAGCUACUCUUGUUCAUAUUGUAGGCAAAGAACUCGUCAGAUGUCUCAUUCCUAUCAACAAGGGCACGAGCGUGAAAUCCCAAUUUCAGCUCUUCGAACAUCUCAUAUGCUCCGUGAGAUUCAAAAUGUAUUUGGAACAUCGUGUUGUAAGCCUUAAAGCAUGACACAUUAAACUAUCAAGUAGUCAUAAAAAAUGUCUCUGUCAGAAGUUCACAGCACCCACAUACGAUGCUUGAGGGGGGGCACACCAAGCGGUGCAUCAAGGACAUUAGCCUUCUGUGCAGCAAUGAGGACAAUCCUUAGUUUACGGACCGAGUCUGCAUAAUUGCUACUAUCAUCUUUCAACUUAGUUUUCUCUAGGAACGCAUCAAAAAUACACGGGAGCUACAGCGCAAGCUAUUGUUCUACAACAUACUUUGUGCAGACAACUUAGACUAUGUUCAUGAUAACGAGCUCAAUUAAUCAUAUUACUUAAGAACUCCCACUCAACUCAAUAUCCCUCAGGUUGUUCGAGUGUGACAUGAUCCAAAUCCACCAACCCAAGUCUGAUCAUCACAUGAGAUGAGGUGGUUUCAAUGGUGAACAUCUCCAUGUUUAUCAUACCUACUAUAUGACUCAUGUUCAACCUUUCGGUCUCCUGUGUUCCGAGUACAUGUAUGUACAUGCUAGGCUCGUCAAGUUUAACCCAAGUGUUCCGCAUGUGCAAAACUAGUUUGCACCCAUUGCAUGCAAACAUAGAGUCUAUCACACUCGAUCAUCACGUGGUGCUUCGAAACGAUGGACUUUCGCAAUGGUGCACACUCGGGGAGAACACAAUUUUAUCUUGAAAUUUUAGUGAGGGAUCGCCUUAUAAUGCUAUCAUCGUCCUAACCAAAAUAAGAUGCAUAAAAGGAUUAACAUCACAUGCAAAUCAUAAGUGACAUGAUAUGGCCAUGUACUUGUGCUUUUGAUCUCCAUAUCCAAAGCAUCGACACGAUCUCCAUUAUCACCGGCAUGACACCAUGAUCUCCAUCAUCGUGUUGCCGUCAGGGUUGUCACGCUAACCAUGCUUCUACUACUAUUGCUAUCGUUUAGCGAUAAAGUAAAGCAUUACAUAGCGCUUAAUGAUUGACACGCAGGUCAUACAAUAAUUAAAGACAACCCUAUGGCUCCUGCCAGUUGCCAUAUGCAUCCACAUGCAAUUCGAUAAUAACUAUUACAAAACAUGUUCAUCUCAUACAUCAAAUAUAUUUCAUCAUGUAUUUGUCCAUAUCAUAUCACAACAUACCCUCCGAAAACAAGUUAGACGUCAUCUAAUUUGUUGUUGCAUGUUUUACGUGGCUGCAAUGGGUAUCUAGCAAGAACAAUUCUUACCUACACAAAACCACAAUGGUGAUAUACAAGUUGCUAUUUAACCUUCUACAAGGACCGCCACGUCGAAUCCGAUUCAACUAAGGUGGGAGAGACAGACACCCGCCAGCCAUCUUAUGCAACAAAGUCACAUGUUAUUCGAUGGAACCGGUCUCUCGUACGUGGACGAGUAAGGUUGGUCCGGGCCGCUUCAUCCCACAAUACCGCUGAAUCAAGAAAAGACUAAGGAAGGAAGCAAUCUGAAUAUCAACACCCACAAACUCCUUUGUGUUCUACUCAUGAUGUCAUCUACGCAUAGACCUAGAUUUUAUACCACUGUUGGGAACACCGCAUGUGAUUUUUUUCCUACGCUCACCAAGAUUAAUCUAUGGAGAUCAACAUGUCCGAGAGGGGGAGUGAAUCUACAUACCCUUGUAGAUCUCUAAGCAGAAGCGUAUAUAACGUGAUUGAUGUAGUGGUACGUCUUCACGAUCCAGUCGCGAUCCGUCUUGAUCUAGCGCCGAACGGACGACACCUCCGCAUUCAUCACACAUACAACUCGAUGUUGUCUUUGCCUCCAUGAUUCAGAAAGCGAGGGCGGAGAGGUAGAUGAGUUCCCCGGCAACACGCCGGCAUGACGGCAAUGGUGAUGGAGCUGUUCCGGCAGGGCUUCGCCAAGCGCUACCACGACGGACUAGAGGAGAAACAGAUCUAGAGGGAGAAGGAGAGGCUGCGCCAUGGCUUGUGGUGCCUCAACCCUCCCUCCCCUCACAUAUAUUGUGACAGCCCGAUGCCGACGUUCCAGAAGAUUCCCUUUUCUUUCCAUUUUCGUCGUGUGUCUAUAUUAUUUUGUCGCAUCAUCAUCGCAUCAUUCGCAUAAUCUGCAUUGCAUCAACAUCUCCGUUGCCGCCAGUUUUCAAAACUUGCAUCCGUUGUUAGUUGUCGGUUCUCGUCGUUGUCCGUUCUGAGCCCGACCACACACGCACGCGCCCGCGGCAUCGUCAAGUCUUGUUUUCAAAAGUGUGAGUAAAACUUUCUCUGAUCGGGGUGAAACUUGGCAUGCGGUCGUGAUUAGUUAUAGCUAGCCGCCUGUCAAAUUUCGUCGCGAUCGGAGUCCGUCUGGUACCCGAACGGUCGACCGUAGUGGCACCGUCUCCGGUUAUUCGUCGGACGUUUGUCGGUGUUUUUUAAAUUCGUUGCCGCCCCGCCCGUUCUCCCACUCGUCCCUCUCGUCCCCGGAUAUCCCCUCUACACGUCCUUGUACCCAUUCCCGCGUUCGGAAUCGUCCGAAUCCAACCCCACGGUUGGAUCCGGAACGCGAUUUCGCUAAACCUAGCCCCCCAUUUGUCUAUAAAUAGCCCACGGGUAAUUUUAGACAACAACCCUACCCCUUGCCUCGUUUUGCGCGCCACCUACCCCGAAACCCUAGCCGCAGCCUCCUCCCACCUCCUCCUCGCGCCGCCAGGCCCGCGAGCCCACGCGAGGCCCGCCGAGCCCAUAUGGCCGCCGCCCCGGUCUGCAGCCGCCGCCGCUUGGAGCCCGAAAUUCGUGCAGCUCCCGUGCUGCCCGAGCCGCCGUCGCGUGCCGCCUUCCUCGCCGGCCGCCGCCUUCCCGUGCGCCAGAGCCCGCCGCCCUCGAACCCGCGCCGCUCCGCCUGCUCGCCCUGCGUCGCCUCCCACCGCCGCCUGUGUCCUGCAGCCGUCGGCCUCUGUCAGAUCCCUGCGAGCCAACCGUCGCCGCCAUGAUGUGCCGCUGCCCGAUGUGCUGUCGCCGUGGCCCAGUUCCGGUGCGGGAUGGCCAGAUCCAUCCAUUCCCAUCUCGCUCCGGUGCCCCUGCGCUCGACGGCCGUCGUUGCCUCUGCGUUGACCGGCGUCGUCGUUGCCUCUGCGCUGGAACGACGGGAGGAGGACGAACCCCCAGCGCCUCGCGUGCGUGGGCUGGAACCCGCGGCCUGCUCCAGCCAGCGAGGCCAGGCCGGCCUCCCCCUCGGCCCAGUGGCGUCCCGCUCCAGCCGCUGGCGCCACGUGGGCCGUCGCCGCAGCGACCAGGCCGGCCAGGCCUAUCGCCCUCCAGGCCUCGGCCCGCCUCGUCCUUUCGGCCCCAAGGUGAGCCCCUCUAUUCCUCGCCCGUGGCGUGUGACUGCCCUGUAUGCCAUGUGUAGUUUAGGCCCAUUAGGUAAUUGGGAUUUUUACGAAUUAGGAAUAUUCCAGAAAUAUGACGAUAUUAAAACCUCCGUAGAUUUCAAACCGAGUGUCGGAUCGCGACGUGUAGCAUAUGUAUCUUGUGUACCUUUUCGCGUAGAAUCCGAUUUCACAACUUGCAUGUUUGUUUGAUGUAGUUUUGCGUGCCGAAUGCCUAGAUAUGUGUGUUGUUUAUAUUGUCUUGGUCCCCUGUUAUUUUCUCGUGCGUGUCCGGGUUGUCCGAAUGCCGUGGUAGAAAUGUUCACAUUUUAGGAACCCCAUUUGCCAUGUAUUUUAGUGCGGUCAUUGUAUUUUUUUGCGUGUUGGGAUUGCCGCUAGUAUAUUUUCCCGUGUAUAGGUUAUUUUCUCGCAUUUACGUGUGGUAUUAAUUUUGUUGUGCAACCCCACAUAUUUUAUAUGUUUUCGGGGUAGAAAAAUCCCAUGGAUUUUUCUGUGCAAUUAGUUUUAGCUUUUGAGAAAAUUAGUUCGCGCGAUAUUUUGCCGUGAUGCCCUUUUGUUUAAUUCGUAGGAUUUAUUCCGUGCUUCGUUUGAAGGAGUUGUCAACUAGGGAGUUGUUCUUGGGUGUUUAUUCUAGCCCUGGUAUUUUUGGUUGCAAUAGAAAUGCAUGUUUAGGUGUGGUUUGAUUGCUCUCAAGUUGCUAGAAAUAGUGCUGAUUUGGAGGAGCUGGGAUAUUUCUAAGUCUGGAAUCUGUUAUAUUUUGUUGCUGUUUUGUUUUGCCUCUAUCUUCUGAUCUGUAGCUCUUUUGAAGUUGGUCCAAUGGAGUUAGUUGUAGCCAUUGUGUUUCUCUAGCAUGCUGUGAAUUUUCAUGCCAUUUGGAGCCCUGUAGCUAUAGGUUUUGCUGCUGUCAAUAUAGCUUGAGAUCAAAAAUUGCACUUUCAUGAGGUGUUAUUUUCACUAAAUCUGAAAUAGAGUGUGAGAUGCCAUUUUGUGUCUUAUUUCCAUAGUGAUCCGUGAUGCCAUGUUAGUUGUAGUUAGUUGUUUGUAGUAGUUAUUCUUGCCCUAUUUGGUGUCAUGCCUUGCUUGAGUUUAUCGUAGUUGUGUAGCCCGUAGUUGAGGGGUGUAGAAAAUGCUAUGUGGCUGAUUUUGGCAGAUUGUAGUCAUUUCUUGUUUUGCUCGUAGUUUUUGAACCGUAGCUCCUAUUUGAUCGUGUCCUAUAUGAAACUUGCUUAGAAUCUCGUGUAGUUUCAUUUUCUCUUGCUGGUUGUAUGUUUUGAAGUGCUUGUGACCGUCGUUGCACACAUAUUGCAUUCAUGCAUCAUAUCUUGCGGUGCUUGUAUCUUUUGAUCCGUAGCUCCGUUGGAGAUGUUCUGUAUGUGUAGAUUGCUUGCCGUGACGCGUAGAAUCACGUGAACCUAUUUAUUUUGCUGUUUAACACCUAAUUAAAUGUGUUAGUUCAGAUCUGGACAGAAUUGUGAAUUAACAUGUGAGGUCGUCUCGGAGGUGCUAUAUGUCAUUUCCGACCUCAUUUAAAAUGCCUAGAUAGGUAGAUUAAUUGCGCUUCACCUAUUGCCAUGUUUAAUCACAUUUAAUAUUGCCGUGUAUCUACUCGGGAUAGAACUAAAUAAUUAACGUGGAGUUUCGUCAAUAUGCAACUCGUUGCAUAUUGAACUUCACUUAAUGUGUAGUGUUUGAUUCUGUGAUUUGUCAUGCGUGACUGCAUGUAUUCAGCUGCUCAUGCAUCAUUUGUGUUGUGCAUCGUGUGGUGAAUCUCGUGUGAUGAUUAUUGUUUCCGGUUUGCCUCGUCUCGAUAGAGUUCCGCAAGCGUGUCGGAUUGUGAGGACCCGUUCGACUACAUCGGUUCGUCUACUUCACGGAGUCAUUCUUCUUCCAAGCGGGAUCUCAGGCAAGAUGACCAUUUCCCCAGAUAUCAUUACUAUCAUUGCCAUGCUAGUUUAUUCGCUUCUAUCGUUUAUGUCUCGUAGCCUACCACAUGUUAAAUAUCAGCCUCUCUACAAUGCCAUGAUAACCUUCAACCUGUUCGACCUAGCAAACCACUGAUUGGCUAUGUUACCGCUUGCUUAACCCUGUGUAGCGUUUCUAGUUGCAGGUGCAGUUGCUUCCAUGUGAUUAAAUGGGUUCCUUGUCAUAUCACCAUAUUAAUUGCUAUUUAAUUUAAUUCACCUAUAUACUUGGUAAAAGGUGGAAGGCUCGGCCUUUCUAGCCUGGUGUUUUGUUCCACCUUUGCCUCCUUAGUUUCGACUACCGGUGUUAUGUUCCAUAAAUGAGCGCUCCUAACACGAUCGGGGUUGUUAUGGGGACCCCCUUGAUAAUUCGUUUUAGAUUAAGGCUGGUCUGGCAAGGCCCAACUUUGGUACUACAUUUGCCUAAACACCUAAUAAAAUUGCAUAGGGACUUUCCGGACCCCGAGGAUAAUUUAAUCAACCCCCGGGCCAGUGCUCCUCAUGAGUGUUGGUCCCACCUGAGCGAUGUCCGGCGCCCCUCUGGUCACCCGGAGGUCUAGCGAUCCCGACGUCUAGCUCAUCCGUCGUGUCCUGAGAACAAGGUACGCGACUCCUAUCAGGAUCGUCGAUACGUCGGGCGGCCUUGCUAGAUUAGUUUUACCUUUGACGAGAUAUCUUGUGCAUCGGGAUUCCGGUGAUGCUUUGGGUAAUCUCAGAGUUGAGGUUUUCCACUAGGGAAUCCGACGAGAUCGCGAGCUUCGUGAUUGAGGAUUUCUAUGCGGCUUGUGGUAAUUUGUGAUGGACUAGUUGGAGCAGCCCUGCAGGGUUAAAUCUUUCGGAAAGCCGUGCCCGCGGUUAUGUGGCAACGUGGAAGCUUUGUUUAACACUGGUUCUAGAUAACUUGAAGUUAACUUAAUUAAAACUUGCCAAUUGUGUGCGUAACCGUGCCUGUCUCUUUCGUGAGUUCCUUCUCCGACCGAGGACACGGUGGGGUUAUGUCUGACGUAGGUAGGUGUUCAGGAUCAUUCUUUUGAUCAUGAGUAGUUCACGUCCGUUAUGCGUAGAUCUUCCCCCUCUUAUUUCUGGUACUCGUAAGUUAUCCACCAAAUAUAUGCUUAGCCGCUGCUGCAACCUCACCACUUAACCAUGCCUCACCCAUUAAGCUUUGCUAGUCUUGAUACCUUUGGAAAUGAGAUUGUUGAGUCCCCUGUGGCUCACAGAUUACUACAACAUCAGUUGUAGGUACAGGUAAAGGUUACUUGACGCGAGCGCGUUGAUUGUUCAUUUGGAGUUGCUUCUUCUUCUUCUUCUUCUUCUUCUUCAUCGAUCUAGGAUGGGUUCCAGGCCGGCAGUCUGGGAUAGCAAGGAUGGACGUCGUUCUUCUUUUGUCGUUUGUUUUCGUCCGUAGUCGGACCCUGCUCUUACUCUUGAUGAUUAUGUAACGUACUGCUGUGACUCUGAUGUAGCUUGUGGCGAGUGUAAGCCAAUUCUAUAUACAUAUCUCAUAUUUUCAGUACAUGUACUUGUAACGAUAUCCAUUCUUGCGACACGACGAGAUGCGCUUCUAUCCCUGACGAGGCCGUCGUGCCAGAUUGAGGAUAGGGUCGCAUCUUGGGCGUGACAUAUAUAUAGGAGGAGAGGAGGGGGGCGGCGGCCCUAGGGUUCCCCUCCCUAGGAGGGGCAGCGACCCUUGGGGUACCUUGCCACCCAAGGCAAGGGGUGGCCGACCCCUUUUGGGCUUAGCCCUCCACAUCUAGCCACAUGGGCUUAGGUGGGAGUGGCGGCCAGCCCACCAGGGGCUAGUGCUCCCCCUAUCACAGCCCAUGGAGCCCUCCGUGGCAGGUGGACCCUCCCGGUGGACCCCCAGAACACUUCUGGCACUCCCGUCACAAAACCGUUAAGUCUUGGAAUUUUUCGAAACUCGAAUGCCAACUUCCUAUAUACUCCCUCCGUUCCUUGAUAUAAGGUGUAUAGAUUUUUGAGAAAAAAUCCAAAAUAUAAGGUGUAGUGCGUUGCAUCACUCGUGUGGAUAUUUAUUUUAGAGAUUUGAUUACAUUUCCUUAUAUCAGGCAAGCUCCUCUAUUUUCUGAUGUCAAUUAGGGAGGUAUAAUCUCACAAAAAACUUGUGAAAUUUCCCCUCCACAUGCGUUCUUUAAUUUCCGUGCCAAAAACUAUACACCCUGUAUUUAGGAACGGAGGAAGUAUUAAUCUUUACCUCCGGACCAUUUCGGAGCUCCUCGUGAUGUCCGGGAUCUCAGCCGAGAUUCUGAACAUCCUUCGGUUUCCAACAUGCAUAAAUCAACAAUACCAAAACGUUACCGAACGUUAAGUGUGCAGACCGUGCGGGUUCAAGAACUAUGCAGAUAUGACCGAGACACUCUCCGGUCAAUAACCAAUAGCAGGACCUAGAUGCCCAUAUUGACUCCUACAUAUUCUACGAAGAUCUUUAUCGGUUGAACCACGAUGUCAAGGAUUCAAUCAAUCCUGUAUGCAAUUCUCUUUUUCCAUCGAUAUGUUACUUGCCCGAGAUUUGAUUGUCGGUAUCACCAUACCUAGUUCAAUUUCGUUACAGGCAAGUCUCUUUACUCGUUUCAAAAUAUAAGAUCCCAUGACUAACUCGUUAGUCACAUUUCUUGCAAGCUUCUUGUGAUGUCGUAUUAUCGAGUGGGCCCAGAGAUACCUCUCCAUCAUACGGAGUGACAAAUCCGAGUCUCGAUCCAUGCCAAGUCAACAGACACCCUCGGAGAUACGUGUAGAGUACCUUUAUAGUCACCCAGUUACGUUGUGAAGUUUGAUACACACAAGACAUUCCUCUUGUGUCAGUGAGUUGCAUGACCUCAUGGUCGUAGGAACAUAUACUUGACAUGGAUAAGGCAGUAGCAAUAAAAUGACACGAUCAAAUUCUAUGCUUUCGAUUGGGUCUUGUUCAUCGCAUCAUUCUCCUAAUGAUGUGAUCCCGUUAUCAAAUGAAAACUCAUGUCUAUGGUCAGGAAACUUGACCAUCUUUGAUCAAUGAGCUAGUCUACUAGAAGCUCACUAGGGACACAGUGUUUGUCUAUAUAUCCACACAUGUAUCUUAGUUUUCGAUCAAUAUAACUCUAUCAUGGAUAAUAAACGAUUAUCAUGAACAAGGAAAUAUGAUAAUAACUAAUUUAUUAUUGCCUCUAGGGCAUAUUUCCAACAUGUGCCUCCCACUGAUGCAAUAUUAGAAUUGGUGGGAGGUCAAUGACGGACGUCCCUAAGAGCCUGGCCCGUGGGGCUUUUACGCCUGCCACAACUAGGCAUUCCUAUAGUAGUGUAUGCUCCACAUUUUGUGAGCACCUCACAGCUCACACCUCCGUCCCCGAGAUCCCCACAACUACCGCUCUGAUUGAUAAGCCCAUAUGGCUUCCGUCCUAUCCUUGUAUGGUGCUCGUGACCGUGAUGCCUCCGUGCCUCUGUCCGAGCUCACUAUCGCCAUGGUGUGCAAACACUUGACAUGGUAUGAUGCGCUGCCUGCAUUGCGGCCAACAAAUAUACAAGACUGGAGGGGGCGAUGACAUCUGACUCCUGUCGAUGGAGGACGCAAAGGAGUGGUACUACCUUGCUGCAAGGCACGACUGCGCUCCUCACAGACCCAAAGCUUAUUACCAAGAGCCUUAUGAUCUUCCAGUCCAUGAAAAACGCGCACAUGUUUGACCAUAAGUGAUGUGUGCCAACUGGUUCGACGUGGAGCAUGCAGAGAUGUUCGAGGGCGUCGAAGCCAAAGCUGCCUAAGAAGACAGAGAUGCCAAUGGGAUUGCCUCUAUAGCGACCUGACCUGAAUGUAUCGAAGUCUGUGUGCUUAAGUGCUAGUCCCUGGAUCGGUUUGCUAGCACACAAAGUACUCGAUGAAAUAUAACAGAGUUCAGUCACACACUUUAUUACAUUGAAGGUCCUCAAAAGAAUAUUUAUUACAAUAAUAUGGCCGAAGGUCAUCUAAAUCGAAAUAACCGUGGAAGCAUCUGAGAUAAAUGAGUCCAUCCAACUCCACGAGAAUAACUGAGUGCAGAACAACGACCUAUCACACCUUACUCCUUGUCGGAAUACUCCACAACAUGAUGGGUUGCAGCCGUGUAGCUCAACAUAUGGAAUAUGCUAGUAAUGUCACACCACAAAAUAAUAAUGAUUGUUUUAUCUCUAUAUGCAAUUUGGAUGGUGGAGACUCUAAGUUUAAUUUUGCAUAAAGUUAAUUUGUCCUAUAUCAAAACAAUUAAAUUAUUACUACAAAGUUCAUGCCAUUAUUGAGAUGGUUCCUCCAACUCAAUCCAAAUAUAAGUUAUUUAUAACCCAAAUUCAUUAAUUUAAAUAUGAGGACAUCACUCAAUGAUAUCACUUAUAGAUUCUCAAGUUUUACAUAACCGGACACGGCUAAUCGAUUAGUUUUACACUCUAAAGAGGUUUGCACACUUUUCCCCACAAAGUUCGACCACUUCCUUUGUAAUCCUCGCACUGCCUGGUGUUUGAGAACCGGAAGACAGAGACACAAUCUUUUAUAGAGCUUCCCUUAACCUUGGCUAUGACCAUCCCAACUAUAACCCACUACCUCUCUUAGCACUACUUAGCAAGAUUCAGUACAAACAUUAACUAAGUUAUAGCCCAUAAUGACUUGUGGCUACACACAUAAGAUUUUAGUCAGGAAUGUCGGUUGAUCCCUUUGAACCUAUGUGGCUUUCAAUACAAGAGUGACCCCCUGGUUUCUUCAAGACACUCGGGCAAAUCCGGUUACUCCAGGCUUUCUUGCACCAUGCAACCAUUCCACCCAGAUGAUUGAUUAAAGUUCACACUAUUUACUAUUCUCUCACGACUUGCAUGCAUCACGAAUACCACCCCACCUACAAAAUCAAGGCUAAGCAAUUAACUUAAAGAUAAUGUUUCCUAGGAUGUUUCAAGGAUGAUCAGUUCCUACCUCAAUGCACUACACAGUAUGAGUACAACCUCAUAUUUCCCACUCAUGCAUCGUAUCAAGUGGGGCUAAAUGCAUAAUAAAAACAUGGGUCUGUAAAAGAAUGAUCAAAGUGAUGAAAUUGCCUUGUUGAUGACUAUCGAACUCUAAAGGUUGAUAAUACUCAUGUGUGCACUCCAGACAAUGUAUUAUAGGCAAACAAUAAGACAUACCAAAGCAGUCACUCAAAUAUCCAAAAAGAAAUACAAAGAAAAGACAGGUAAAAACACGAAAACAUGCAAAUAAAGUUCCCGGACAGAAACAUAUUUUUAACAGUAGGAAAUCUAUCCGAUUAUAGUUCUGGAUUAUAGGUUAUGGCUAGGGUUUCCAUUUGCAAAAUGAAUCAACUGAAACAGAUCUAUGGUUUAAGAUUUACAACUAAAAGAGGGUCUGAAAAAGAUUUGAAGUUGAAUAAUUUUGAGUUGCUCAAACUCCAAAAUCCACUUAAAUCUGAGUUACAGACUAAACAAAUCCACUUAAAUCAGAGUUACCGAUAAAAAGUAAUAAGGUUUUAAAACCAGAGGCCAACCCGUGAAAAAAUUAACUAGAUUUUGAUCCCUAGCGACGUGGUGCGCUAGUACUUUCUGGAAAUUGUUUGUUGCAUGGCGUUAGUAGCGGACAACCGCUAACUAACAAAUUUUUUUUGGCUAAAAUAAAAUAAAACAGAUCUAAUCUAGGCCACUAGAUCUGGACCAGACUAAUGGAUUUUCAUGGGUGCAGUGGGUUUUAACCCCUUUUCGCGACGUAGUUUUAAACCGCCGCCUAGCCUCUGUGUGCGAUAUGGGGAUCCAUUCCAUACGACAUGGAAAACCCGUCAGCAAUAGUUACCUAUGAACACAAACGUUUGGCAAAACUAAGCGUAUGGGAUGUGGGCAGCUAUCACAAACAAGAGUUAUCGGUCAACCAUUUGAGAUAGGUCAUACUUUCCAUAUGGCCCAUCUUUGCUACUCGUGUGAGAUCACACUAACAUCGCAAGUGCUAUUCCGUGGCACACCGUUUACAAUGUGCGUCGCACCACAAACAAUUCAUGAUUAUAAAGAGUGUAUGAUAAGUGGACUAUCACAUACAUUUAGUUCCACUAUGACCGUGUGUGAUAGCACAUAAGAAUGCAUUAUCCUUAUAAAACCCUAUGUGCUAUUGAUAAACAUUUCUGAUUUAUAAAAUGUCUCAAACAUGUCAUCCAUACAACCCGUGUCGGAUAAAGACCUAUCACACGUGUUUUUCUUUGAUCAACGUUUACGAUGGUCACGACAUCAUAAACAGUUCACGAUAUCAAAUCAUGUGUGAUAAAGAGACUAUCACAAACACUUGAUGAGAAGUAAUUGUGUGCGCUAGUGUUGUUAAUCUCACACAUUAUUUCUUGGCUGAUUGUGUGCGUAUCAUAUAUUCAUCGAACACGUCGUGAGUGGAGAAACGUGUCUGAUCUUGAAGUCGAUCGCAUACGUUUUGCUUUCUCAAACUGUGUGAAUUGUAAUGGCACAUAGAGCAUAAUUUAUCCCUAAUUUAGUACAUGUGCUCAUAAUUCACAUAAUUUAAAUUUGAAUUUAGGAAAUUGUUUAUUUCAUAUCAAAUCAUGUUUAAAUAUAGGUUUAAUAACAAAUGCAUAAUUCGAUUCACAUGUACAUAUACUCUAGAACUACAGAAACAUCAAUUUGCAAAAAAAAGGAAAACUACAGAAGGGACGAAUAUAGAAUGAUGGAACCACGGUUGUAUUAAAGACUCUAAAGAGAGAGAGAGUUGAAAGGCAUUCUGGUUGCUAGAGAAGGUGUAGCGGAAUGCCCAUACUAUGCCCUCCUCCAUGCCUAACGUGUGCACGACUCUAGGCCAGCCGCUAGUGAUGGCCGCCUGCCCAUCCUUUACUGUCUUCAUUACGAAUUCUUGAUACUCAUUGUAGUCUCGAUGAUAUACUUUAACCUUCAUUGCAUGUCCACUAAUCAUGUAAUUUGCGAGGUAAUCUUAAGUAAACUUCUUUCGGAACCACUGCAAAAGAAAAAGAUCCAGACAUUGUUGUGUGACAACUCAUUAUAGACAGUACUAAUACAGGGCUACAAAGCCCACAGUUACCAUCCUACAACUUACCAUUGUGUUGGAUAGAGCAUAAACAAAUAAUCUAAUUGGCAUCAUUUCUCUGUUUUCCCUAAAAAUCCUUAUCCGUUUCCUCAAUAGAUUCUAGUUCAUGAAUAUUUCAUUGCUCCACACGCAAAAGGGUCUAGACGUGGAUCUUUACAAAGAACAUAUGUACCGACAAACAAGAAGUCAAUAUUAGAAGCUAAAAUAUAGUUGCAGAAUGUUGUAAGAUAUUACUCCACCAGUUCCACAAUGUGUUGCAUAUAAACAUGUUGAGAAGUCAACAUUUACUAAUUUUGACCAAGUUUGUGGAGAAAAACAUAUACAUCUAGAAUUCCAAACCCAUGUCAUUAGAGACAUCACAAAAUUUACUUUCAUAUUGUAUAUAUUUUGGUGUGGUGUAUAUAAAUAAUAUUCUUUAUAAAUUUAUUCACACUUUGCAAAGUUUGACAAUUUAAAAAUAAAUAAAUCAAUAUGUACUACAUUAUGGAACGGAUGAAGUACAAGCCAAGGGAUAUAAACAAUAUCUCCACCUCUCUUAUUUCAAAAUUUACGAGAUGUGGUGAAUUCACUUGUCCUAGUCCAUUAAAUAAAAUGUUGGGGAGUUGUAUGGUAUUAUGUAUGUUAUUGUAAAAUUAUUCUUAGUCAUGAUCUACUCUCCUUACCUGUUAUUAUCUGCAAAAUAUUUCCUAAUGGUAAUUAAAAGGAAUUUUAUUUUUCACUAAGAAUUGGUCAGGCCUGUAACAUCCAAGAUGCGGCAGAUGGGAUGUUUCCCCUUAUAACAGCCGCAACGUGUGCCCUUCUCUUGAUCGAUGAGAUUUGACUUUGGAGCUAAGGAUCCCAAGCCAUCGCCGUAGAACAUUACCUUCAGAAAUGAUAAAAGGGGCUCGAUGGCAUACAAGGAUCGCAAAUCCAUGACCGCGAGGUGGAGAAUCAGCAGCGAUGCCUUUGGGGAGAUUGACGGUGGUUGAACCAAAGGCAUUGCCGGUGGACCACUUAACUUGGGACAUGGCCCGAGUGAAGCCGUCGAUGUUCACGAGCUUGAUGUCGUAGCCGGCUCUCCUGAGAUACAUGAAUACGUGAGUCCGCAGACUUGAAGUCUUCGACAUGGUAACGUAGUCAACGUCCUCACCGACUUCCACAACGAGGUGUUCCUCCGGGAUUGACGGGUCGGCAUGAACGGCGCCAACCUCACCAGCGUAGGCCAAAGAGGCCAUGAUAGAACUCCUUUUGCUCGUACACUCCUCGAUCUCCACGGUUAUGUGGUCGGGCUCAUUAGGUUGUGAUUCUAUGUACUACAAAUGGGGAUGCNNNNNNNNNNNNNNNNNNNNNNNNNNNNNNNNNNNNNNNNNNNNNNNNNNNNNNNNNNNNNNNNNNNNNNNNNNNNNNNNNNNNNNNNNNNNNNNNNNNNNNNNNNNNNNNNNNNNNNNNNNNNNNNNNNNNNNNNNNNNNNNNNNNNNNNNNNNNNNNNNNNNNNNNNNNNNNNNNNNNNNNNNNNNNNNNNNNNNNNNNNNNNNNNNNNNNNNNNNNNNNNNNNNNNNNNNNNNNNNNNNNNNNNNNNNNNNNNNNNNNNNNNNNNNNNNNNNNNNNNNNNNNNNNNNNNNNNNNNNNNNNNNNNNNNNNNNNNNNNNNNNNNNNNNNNNNNNNNNNNNNGGGGGGGGGGGGGACACCGCCGGCCUCAUCUAAAAACUUAGGGCGGCGAUGGCGUAUGUGAAUCGGUGGGUAAUCUGAACUUGUUUAGCUAGGAGACAUGGGCAGACCGACUGAGGUUAGUGGUGGAAGGCGGCAGCGGGGGUGAGCUAGUGUUUGAGCAGGGGAGGAAGGGGAGGGGGUUGGUGUUGUGUGGGGGUAGAGAGGGGGUGUUUGCGGAUGUGUCGUGCUACUAGAAAUUUUGGUAAUGGUUGGAGAUGGUGGUGGAGGAGGGAUGACGACGGUUUUCAAAUGCAUCGGCAGAUGAAAUUUUACUAUAGGGUCGGUGGUGGACGAGGGAGGGCGGCGGUUGAAAUACAGCUGCCACUUAGAUUUGGGUAAAGGAACCGAAGGGGGGGGGAGCAACCAAGAUCGCACACGGUCCAAACAUAAUAAAGUGUGGACGCUGUAACAAAAUGCCGCAAAGCCACGAAUUUUUGCAUCUCCCAAGGCUGGUGACUUUUUCUGAGAUUUUCCAAGGCGGGUUCAUCUUACACGGUUCAUCCUCAUUUUAAGACGGAUGCGUGAAAUUCAUCCUAAAUUUCGACAUGGCCACAAACAUUUGACUAAUUUUCACCACAAAAUGCCUUACUUUGCAGCGCUUAGUUGACAUUAGUUCAUAUGUUCACUAAUUUACAAACAGUUCAUCAAUUUACAUGUAGAUGAACUGCAUAAAAUAUUCACUACGUCAUGCAUGCAUACAAACGCCACGCCUCCACCAUCAUCAUGACCUUCCUUGGCUCAGAAGGAGUUUUUAGAGGACCUAGUCAAGUCGAUGAACUCCACUAGUUCCACGGCGGCGACCGGUGGGGCUAGCUCGACCGGAGCGACCGCGGGGCCUCUUGCGAGUCUGUCGCUGUCGGCGAAGCUACCUUCACCGCGGCGACACUCCCCAGGGCAUCCACCGUCGUUGACGAAGCUGUCGUGGCAUGCGCGUGGGCCAUCAUACACAGACGGGCGCCGCUCUCGUGAACGCUAUGUCCCUGGUCGCUGUAGCCGCCGAGACGUCUCCUAUUGUCAGGGCUGUCGCCGUAUCUGGAAGUCCUGCACUGGCGUACAAAGCGGCUGAGAGGCAUGCGCUGCCCUGCUCCGCUGCCUUCUGGUCUUGCUCCUGCCUCUUUUUGUCCGUUGCGGAUUGCAUCCGGUCGAAACGUUGGAUAGUUUAUGAUAUAGUUUUUGGUAUAAUGAAGACUUAGUGUACCAUGCCUCAUGAUACACCUUGCAUUUAUCUAAACCUAAAGGAAUUAGUAAGCAUGAUGCAAAAGCAUUGAUUUAUGAAAAGCAAAUGUGAUUUUAUUUGCACAUUUUGAUCUUACUUGUUUGCUAUAAACUAUAGACAAUUGCCUUGAAUGACUUUUCUUUUGAGUUAAACUUUCAUGAGACUAAAUAAGAUAAUCAUAUUCCUGCACAGGUAGCAUUCAAAAACACAAAAUACUUAUAUUAUCAUUCGCUUGCUCGAGGGUGAGCAAGGAUUAAGUUUGGGGAUGCCCUUGCCCUUCAGGGCCCAGCAAAUAUUAGACUUACAUGCACUACUCACGGAGUAUAGCAAGAAGCAAUGCCCUUACAUCGCUCACCACCUUGCUAACCUCAUCUUCUUUUACUUUUAGUUUUUUUUAUCAUGACCUAUAUACUUUUUUUGUUAUGAUACUUUUUAUGAAAUUUAGUACAUUAGGAGAGCUACUCUUAUCAAACAAUUCUUAUAAGACAAAUACUGCUCAACUAAAAGAUGAUUGCCAACUAGCCAUGGGAAGCAUCAUUUUUCCAUUGUUACCCAUAUACUCUGGUAUAUAUUAUCCAUAUUUUGGAAACCCUAGUACAUAUACCCCUCUAAUCGCUGCCACCCCAUCCCACUCAGUGCCUUGCGAUUUAGUAACGGUGAGGGUGACGGCCGAAAACUAUUAGCAACACAUAUUUGGUGAUGGGAAUCGGUUUUACGUCACACAAGUGAACCGUAACGAAAAACUUCUGUUUUGUAGUGAAAAUAGUUUUUUUUCCUCGUAGCAAAAUAGCCAGGCAAACACGGAAAGAAACUUGUGAACAUUCGUCUUGGAUCAAUAGCUAUCAAUGGAAUGAAACGCAAGCAAGGUUAGUUUCAAACUGACCUUGUACGCACUUGAAGCCCGGUUACCAUGUUCCUUUCCAUUUUUAUCUCUCUUCCCUCUCCCUCCCACUAAAUAAGUACACACCACGCUCCAUUUCUUGGAUCUGCACAAAUCGUCUGACCGGCCAUCGCCUCCCCCUCAGUAGGACCUUCAGCUCCAGCCAGGUACAUCAGGAUCGAUCCAUGGAGUGUACAUACAUUCUCUUCGCAAUUUCGUUUCCUAGAUCUACUGAAGCUUAUAUGUGCAUUUUUUGUUUGUGUUUGUGUUUGUUGUUUGGCUGCUGUAUUCUGGGUAUACAAUCAGAGAGCAAAGUACAUGCGUCCAUCUUCCUCGUGCUUUCUUUCCUUCCCUUUGCCGGAAUUCUUAAUCGGUUUAGACAAAGUGGGACAGUAAAAAGUGCAGUCAACAUUUCUUUUACCCCGUUGAGUCUUUUUUUCAAACAUUGAAAGUUACACUUCUUAGAAAACUAUGAAAAAUAUCCGACUUAUGUAAAUUCAUUGGGACUUUAAAAAUCUGAGUAGAAUGAGACUUAGCAAAAGUCUAUUAAUAUUACAGUGGGAUCCUUGAUGGACAAUUCGACCGCAUCUUGACCAACCCGCUGCGAAACAUGUACAUACGUACAUACAUACACACACACGUGAAUCUAUCCAUAUACUCCCUCCGUCUUAAAAUAAGUGUUGCUGCUUUAGUACAAAAUUUGUACUAACUUAGUAUAAAAUUUGCGUCAUUUAUUUUGGGACAGAGGGAGUAUAUAUUUUACGGAUUUUUCUGAUCUGCAUAUAAUGCUUUUCUCUCUUUGUCUUGUUUCGACACCUUUUCUGCCAGGGUUUCAAAAAAAAUUAGUCGCCAUGUCUUCUUUCGGAUCCAAUGAGAAGAGAGGUGAUGCUCGCAAGGGGGGUGACGAAGGGUGGAAGAGGGAGAUAAAGGGCAACGAUGGAACUCCCGGAAGCUGGGUGCUUUCUGAUGAAGAACAAGUGGCUCCAGUAUCUCAGCCUCCGUCAACCACAGUCACCAGCAUCUCCACCAUUCCAGACUCCUGGAGAGCCUUGAAGCAUACAUCAAGGAUGUCCACUGGAGCAAAAGCACCAACGCAUCGGCUGGCACCCAAAUCAUCAUUCAGGCUGUACAAAAAUCCUUAUUACAACCUAAUUCAUAAUUUUGGUGUUGAGAACACUUCUCGUUUGGAUCUACCUGGACCUUGGGAUCACCAUCUACGUCCCAAGAGAGACAAUGCAGGGGAGAGCAACAGUUGGGGGACUGCCAACAAUCAAAUUAUGUAGGGCAUCACUGACACCUUUGUGUUGCCACACCUGAUCCUUGAGAUCUAUAUUUUCGAUGAAUCUCUUUAGAGCUAUUUUAGAUGUAAAGUGUGCUAUUUGCUCCUUCAGAGCAAUAUUUUUGAUGCAUUUAUUGGUGUGAGACUAUAUAGUAAAGAGAUUACAUGAGAUUUUCGUUUUACACUUCGUUAUUAUAUAUUCUAACCCUACAAUUCAUAUCUUAUAGAAUUAUCUUGUUGGAGGUCAUGACUUUACCAUCUGGGAGGUUUGAUAAGUAAAAGUUAUCUUUUAAAUUGUUAAAUCAGAACACAAAUAAAACACCAUGUUCGUCCACAUACGCUAAAACUAUAUAGACUAUUGAUUCCAAUUGUAACAAUUGAGAUUAAAAGAAACAAAAAGUUAGUGUGCAACAAUAGUUGUGUAACAAAUAAACUAUUGUAGGACAUGUUCAAGUGUAGUACCAGAUAAUGUACAUACAAACAUGACGUGCCUAUAUACAGAAACAAAGGAAGUCCUAUCCUACUAAGACACUCACUGUUGCGAGCCAAAUUUAUUUUCCAGCUCAAGCACGUAUGAUGCAGCCUUGAUCGAUUUACCAAGGUAACUUGAUUGAUCCAUCAAGGAUACAUUUAUUCAAACAAGCAGCCACACGCAGAUUCAUCAUACUCCCGUACUGGCUUGGUAGGAGCUAGACUAAUGGGAAAUACAUACAUAAAAUAAUUGGGACCGCGCGUUCGCUACAGAGCGUUGCAGACUGGAAUGCGGCGAACCGUUUGAUUUCUCUUCGUGGCCGAACAUACACAUGCAUACGUCACAAGGGCCGAUGUGUAGGAAGCCACAACAUACAACUAUCUAAAGCAUUUAAAUACAACAACAAAUAUGAUUAAAAACGUAACUAAGAUAAUAGUUGAACCAACAACAUAAUGAUACCAACAUAAUGAUACCAAACAUCCUUAUUAUUGGCAUAUUUUUUAGGUAAACGCUUCCUAGCAGGCAUCUGAUAACAAACGUUUGUCAGACUGGUCACACACCGUCGAUGCUUCUUUUGUCUAAUGGCUGAGAUUGCGUCCGAAAUCGUUUCAUUAGUUUCCAAAAAACACCUUGAUUUUUCACCCAUAACUACUCCCGCAUUAACCUCACCUGCCCAAACCCAUACUACGUCCCCAUCCUCAUCACCUGCUCGCUGCUCCGUCCGGUCCUUGUUCUGGCCGCUGGCCGCCAUGAACCAGCCUCCCCUUCUCCCGUGAGACUCACCACGCAGGUGCGCCGUCCCAUCCAAUUGUUGCGGCCGAUAAUAGCCACGACGCACAUGACGAGCGAGCUCACAGUCCAUGGUCGUCCCUGUCAUCUACACUCGAUUCAGAUCCCCCGGCAUCCAUGCCACCACGGCAAAACCUUGCUGGAGUCCAUCACGUGAACGAAUCCAUCAUGACCCGGUUCCCCAGCGAAUCCAACAUGCGAGAAACCUUGCUAGAGUCGCCCCCCGACCUCCUCUGCAAGUAGCAUCUACCUGCAUCCUCACCUGACCAGGCUUAGGUAAUUCUGGGAGAUCUUCAUAUAUAGGUCUCUGAUUUUUAACAUAUCUGUAUGUCACGAGUGUUGUUUGAUGAAUUUUGUCCACCUCCCUAGUCUGUUUUUGUAGCUGAUUCAUUAUUUUGCCCACGCCAUUGCGUAUUAUAUGACUGAAUCAGAGUAAUAUACUAAUAUAUCUGGAUUUGGUAUGUACAUGACAUACAUGUGCUUCCUAAUUUUUGGCUGUAAUAUGAGUGAGAAGUGAGAAGAUUUUAGUCGCGUUUUCCCCCUCUUUGUUGUCUAUGUUCAAAGUUGAAGGAAGCACACGUUGUUUGUCGCACGAGAAUCCGUCAUAUCAUCCUGACGAAAAAGGAUUUUCUCCCGCUUUGUAUUACAAAGCAAACAACCGAUACAACCAACGAUAGAUGUUAGGACGGAAGCAACACAGUAACACCCAAAAGAAAAGAAACAGAAAAAACAUACAUGUGCUUCUUCCCUGCUUCUACUUUUUUGUAUUCUUGUUUUAUGUUGAGAUAGCAUGAAUUUGAUGCUUUCAAAUAUCCAUGCUUCCUAAACACCGUAGAUAUGCUUCUUCAGUCUAGAUAGCUUGUGUCAAUACUCCAUAUUAAGCUCGCAAACUAAGUUUUCUAACUGAAAAUGGCUCUUAUCCAGGAUUACGAUUAUAUUAACAACAAGUUAUGUCCAUAUUAUCUAACAUUGGGUAUAACUUACUUUAUUCACGACGCACACACUUAUGUCUCUGAUCAUGUUAGGAGACAUUUUUUUAUGAUUCCUAUGUGUCUUAUAUGUUGUCCCAGGAUCUUUUCAUCUAACCACAAUAAGUCUCGGCCACUUUCUAUUGUACAAACAUUUUGCUUCAGUCAUUAUGAGAUGCUAGUGUGUGCUUCCAUCUUUCUCACUUAAUGCUUCAAUCGUAUUUUGCUAUACCAGGUUCCAAUUGUGCUUCUUUGUCUAUGUGUUGAGUGCAUACGAGCUGAGAUCAACCAGCCACUGC